rnacentral:lncRNA from 1 species
GCGAUUAUAGGUAACAUAGUUGUGAGUUUUCACUCGUUCGUUAUCGACCUUUUCAUUAUAGUUUGACGCCCUCUUGUUUUUCAGUAGUUAUGAGCACCGUUUUUCUUACUUGUAAACUAUACACGACUUUUUAAAAGUAGUAUUCGGAGAUAUACUUACAGAGACUAUAUUUCCAUACAGGUCAUUUAUAUAUAUCUUAUCAACGUUAAAGUUGGAUUUACAUCGUGAGUGUUCCGUUCACUUUGAUAUUGUUUGGAUAAUCAUAGUAGAUGAGUAGUAUUCUCAUCAAUAUUAAGCAAUAAUUUUAAUCGUCCACUUUUCGUACUAUAGUUCCUGAAGAUGUAUAAGAAUGCUCAAACUUUGCCUCUAUCUUUUCAAUUCUGUUAGGUUUACAUGAAGUUAUUAAUUAGUCGGGAUUUUGGUUCGGUCGUUAAAGUUAAAAUUGACUAUCUUUCUUUCACUUCAUGAUUGUAACUGUGCAUCAGAAAGCGGAGCACUACACAGUUGGUGGUUGAAUCAGAGUCAACGACUCAUUUUUUUAUCAGGACCUUUUUUUCCUACUUUAACUCUUUACUACUAAUCUAAGUGUGAUAUGUUCGUACAUCCUAUGUAGGUCCUUCCGCUGUUCUUGUGUUCAUACGUAACUAUACAUCCAUACGUUCUUCCAUACGUUCUGAGUGGUCAAAGGUUCAUACCGGAUUAUAAAUUAAUUCUCUGUGUUUCUCCUUAGGGUUUUACAGUCUAGUUCGAAUAUAGUAUAAGUAGUUGGUAAUCUAUACUAGUGUCAUGAAGUGAUAGACCCUAAUAUGGUAUAUUACGGCGAGUACGUUUUGAUAAAAGGGAUUAACGUUAUUUUGUGUUCGUGUGGUUUACGGAAGAUGUACUGGUGAUUUAGGCUAAUAUUUUAUUCAACUAUUUAGUUGUUUUUGUUAAGUUUUAGGUUAAAAAUUAUCUUGGGUGUUUCGUGGUUUUGGUUUUAGAAGCUUUUUAGGAUGAUAUGUGUUGAGUUAGUUGGUAUGCUUCCUCGUUAUGUGAUGUAUUACUCUACUUUUUUCCUCCUUUUUUCAAUUUAGGGUUUGGUUUUUCGCAGAGUGAGCAGAGCUACCACUUCUCCUUUGUCAUUUAGUUGUUUUUAGGUUAAAAAUUCUGUUGGUUGUUGGGUUACCGGAGUUUUGGAGGCCCUUUAAGAUGAUGUCUCGCAGGUUACUUGGUAGGUUUCGUCGUUUGUGCGUUGUAUCGCUCUAGUCUUCUCCGCUCCUUCGCAGAGUGAGCAGAGUCUCUACUUCUCCUUCUCGUACUGCUCUCGCCUCUGCUAUCACUGCUACGGGGGCCUCUCGCACGCCGACAUCUUCAGGAGCAACUAGAAGCCCAUGCGCAGCUCCAAGAAUUCGAACAACUCCUAGAGGUAGAGGUUUGUGAUUAGGUUAGGUUAGCCCCUUUGUUUGGGAUCGGCUUCGUUAGUUUGGGAUCGUGGCGGGAGAGAGAGAGAGAGAGGGGUUUCUCCUUUAGAUCCCAAAGGCCCCGCCUUUGUCACGAGGCUAGAGUCGCGCCGCCUCAGCGUCUCCUCCGCUGCGCAGCUGUGCGUUGCUCUCUCAGGAAACCGGGAAACUGGUGGCAGCAUACUAUAAUUAAUUAAUAAAGAUAUUAUUACUAAUUUUAUAUUCCGUUUACGAUGUAACGAUACGAAUGUAUGUUACAUAGGCUAUUACGUCGCCUACUCGUUAUAACGCAUUUUAACGCAUGCACCGUCUAUUAGUCACCUAGCCAUAACAUAUGAAACAGGUGCAGCCUAAGGUGGCUUCGUAGCCGAACUCCAGUCCAUGUAAUACUGCAUGGGUAUCAUAAUCAGAAGCAUAACUAACUCGCACAUCGCGCCCCUCUAAAUGACGACGGGAAAACAUCCGACGAUUACCGUAAAAGGGGAAAAAAUUGGAAAAAAAAAAAGGGAGAGUAAGUGGAAAAAAAAAAAAUUAAAUAAUAGUAAAACAAAUAAAUAAAUAAAACUUCUUCGUGAGUCUUAUUAUUAGAGCAAAAGCCUACAGAACCUAUAGUAAUUUUGUUAAACUUGGUAGAAUUUUAGUGCCAUAAUAACGUGAUCUUAGAAUUUAAAAUUCAUAAUCCCCUAAAAAUAAAAAACCCAAUGAAACCUACGUGAAAAACCUAUAAAAUAACCCCUAUUAAAACCCCAUUUGACCUAUUACUAGAUCUUUUCAACGUUUCGAGUUGAACACUCUUGUCUUAGUUUAUUAUGAUAGGAUAUUUUGAUAAAGUGUUUAUUAGGUUUACCUCGCAUCAUUAACCUAAUGUACUCGAGUGAUAAAGGAAAAAACCUUUGAGAAAUGUAUAUUGAACCUCCUAAAAUGUGCGCGUUAAUUAACGUCGUAUACGCAGCCUGGUAAAUCAUGCUUUUACCACGAUACCUAUAUAUCUUUAUGUAUUAAUUUUUUCUUUUUCUAUAUAAAAUGUCAUUGAUCAUAAAAUUUUACGGUAAAUGUUCGUUCGUUUAUCUUCCCGUUUUUCGUAAAAUGAGAUAGUUUUAUUAUUACUGAACAGAAUAAAUGAAUCGUAGUGUCACGUACAGAGGUAAGUGGUGAUUACCUCUUUAAUUUGGACGUCCAAAUUAUUUUAUAAUUACUUUAAAUUUGGACGCUCUUUAAGAGUAGACGAACCUCUUUCUGUUGAUAAAGAAAGGAGAAACUCUAUUAGUAAAUAUGAGACAAACCUACCUCUCUUAUUUUCCUUUUUUUUUUAUUUCUUUUUUUUCUCUCUCUUUGCAAAAAUGGACACUUUUCUCCCUUUCUUUUUCUUUUUCUUUGAUUUUUAUGUGAUGAUGGUAUAUUUCAAAAUGUAUAAAUCUUGCCUUUUCUCUUUAGGUAUGUACUAUGUGUUCGGUGUUUAAAACGAUUUGAUACUUUCAAACCUAGUGGAUGUACCUUGACUUUCUUUGUUUUUUUGUGUUUACUUUUCGAUGUUGUCCUUAAUGUACUUUGGAUUUCGUGUUGUACGGGGCUUAAAACAGCUUUUCGGGAUUACCAAAAGUGGUUAAAUUGAUGUUCAGUGGUAUAUUAAAUUCCUUAUGGACGUACCAAGCCUGUAAGAUGUCAGGAUUUCAAUCCUAGAUAAUCGCUUUAAAAUCAAACUAAGAGUUGUAAAGUUCAAAACGUUAAACGUAGGGAAUAGAAGCUCAAGAAAACGUUAGAAUCAUGAGGAUAUUUAAACGAACAAUAUUACUUACCUUUAAAAGGUCAAUUGACGGUGUAUUAGUGGUGAACCUACCUCAAUGUACCACAAAUACCUCUAUGAUGGUGGGUAAAAUUGUUUCUAUAAAUUUCCUGAUUCUGACUAUAUCUUUUGUUUUAAAGCCCUGGGUUAACAUUAUGAACUUUCGAGCUCAUGUUGUUCACGUUAGAUGGUUAUUGAACUAUAGGUCACAACGUUUACUAAUACGCGGUAGAGUGACAAGAACAGUGGUAUGUUUAGUGUUGGGGCAGCAAAGUCCUUCCGUUUCAUUAGACCAUCUCUUUUUUUUAGGUUUUAAUCAUUCUGUUAAUAUUAAUUUGACAGUUCAUACGUAGAGAACAGCAAUAAUUGUGAGUUUUUUCGCUCUGUGUAUUUCGCGAACUAUAGGAUGCGUGUUUUUAUUAGUAAAAUUAAAAGAUUCGGCAGUAUCUCAUUUAUACAACAAAACGUUUCUCCGUCUACUGUUCAUAUAUAUUAAUGGUGAUCGUGUCUUUUUUCUCUACUUUAGGCCCCUCUUUAUACGAUAAGUUCUAAUCGAUCGUAUACGUGUGUGUUAAGUUAAUGUUUAACGGCUACAAACAUAGACUUUCUUCUGAGACCGUGUUUUACGCCACUAUCUUCUCUAAAGAGGUUUAUAUACUUAUAACCUCUUAUAGGAGAACAAAUAUGUACAAAUAUUCUAUAAUGAAGGCUUCAUUGAUAAGGCUCACGAGUUUACGAGAGUGUUUGAAUGGUUUAGUCUCUUCGAAUGAAAUGAUCUGAAAAAUGGUAUUUGUCAAUUCUGGCUGGAUUUUGCCCUUACUAAUAAAAAGUAAAACCUCAUAGUUUCAUGUCAUCCGGGCCAAAUUCGAAGUUCCUACUUCUCUAACUUGCCAUUUUCACUUACCAAUACAUGUGCUAUAGCGUCUUAACUUAAGAAAGACGCUUUAAUUAACUAGGUCUGAUUGUAACUUAGUCUGAUUGGUUUUCUCCAGUGCUUGAUCUUUUUUAAAUUCUAACGAACUAAUAACCAUAGUGAAUCUUUAUUGAUGAUCUUGUACUUUUUUUUCAUUCAUAACGAACCAAUUGUUCUUUGGUUUACCCAACUUGAUGUCUUUAUCUUCCUUCGUUCUUGUCACGAUGUAUUAUCAUAAUAGAUAGUUCGGCACUUUUUCUAAGUUGUUUUCUGUUCGUUUAUGUGAUAGAUAAAAUGCAGUUCGUUAUUUUUCUUGAUUUAAAGAUCUUUUUAAGAUUUCCUAGUUAUCGUUAUCGAAAUCCUUGACAUGCCGAAUAUUAGAUGUCUAUCUUUCAAGUUCCGUAUCUUCUAGUAAUAAACAUUGUUGUAAUGGUCUUUUUUCUUCAUUUUCUUUAUGGUCUAUAUUCAAUUACGUGUUUAAUAUCAGCAGUUAGGACACUUUCCUAAUUGGCUUUUUAGGCGCUGUUAAACCACUACGUGUAUUCGUGAAGAAUCGAGACGCCCUCGGUUUUGGUGGAUAAGAGAGUAGUAAUGACGGUGAGUGUGGUAUUAGCAUUCAGUUAAGCCAGUACCCUCCUUACACGAACUCGCGUUUCUUGUAAUAUACACGUACGGGAAGUAGUGGUACUAGUACAUUAUGGCCGACGGUAUUGUGUAAUCCACUCGUUGAUACCAAGUAUUUUGCACGCUAUAACGGGUAUGAAAAACGUCAAUACCAUUACCCAUUGUUUAAGACCCGAAGGCAACUAAGUAAGCAUGAACCAAGUGGGUUAUUGAGCCAGGGUGCUAAGGUAGAACUUCAGAAAAGCGGUUCUAUACGACAAACUUUCUAUAUUAGUAGAAGGAGUAGCAAGUACAGGUGAGAUUGGAGUAGUUAUUCAAGCGGGCAUAUAAGUGUUUAUUUACAUGGCCGGGCCUAGCCCAGGGUGCUUGCAUCCGGGGUUGGCGCUAGGGCGCAGAAUUUUUGGAGUUUCACUUCGGAUUAAGGGAAAACCCAGUGAGAUAAAGCUGUUAAUUUUCUCGUAACUGUUCUUCUUGGUGUAAGUCGUUAUUCUCCGAAAGCCGAGUGUUCGUUGGGAUCUCUUGAUAUCCCUUCCAGCGGAAGUAAAACAACGCGCGUGCUCGUUAAUUACAGUGGUCCCUCUGUCUGCGAAACCGUGAACGUUGGAACAUUACCAAAGUAAUUCGACUAACCAAAAUUUAUAAAUUGGAAUCACUAUAUACACUUUACUCACCCAGGAAAGAGUAACAGUUGUAGUAAUUGUUCCGUUUGUCCAUAUAAGAGUCACGGUCUCCUAUUUAGUCUAUCAUAUUGAGAGGGGGAGGGGCUGCCCAAGAGAAAGGUAAAAACUCAGUAGAAGGUUUGGCGUUCUGGGAGCCCAACGGGACCGAGAGAGUCGUUAAACAUGAACUUUUGUAACUAUGGUCUGAAGCGAAAGAGGAAGGUGCUCAAGACUUAGAACAUCUCGGGUAGUAUCAUUAUCUAAAAGGGCCAAACCGUCAACCCCAGAAAGCGCGAGGCGUGUUGGGAUUAAACCAAGAAAGCCAUGUUCGAAGAAAGGUUUCGUUCUAAAGGGGAAAGUUCGAAAACCAGGAGCAAGAACCACGAUGGAGGAACUGGUCACAUUUAGUUCUUUAGCUGUAGCAGAAGGAGUAAGAGCAUUGGCGGCCUCCUUUGUUAUGUAUAACGGUGCCCUAGUAGAACUAAUAGCUUAAACCGCCAGUACAUCAGUUAUGGACGGUACGAUCCCCGCACAUUUGGUUACUACGUGUAGAGGUAGGAUUUUAUCUUUUAUAGGGGAUGAAGUUGCGGUCCAUGACCCGGUUAGGAGAAGGGACGUAAUCGGAACUCUAGCAAUCGGUUGUACUAACGGGGCCGGAAAUUUAGGACCGCGGGCAAGUCCAAGCUGCUGAGCAGGUUGACGUCUUCGGCGGCGGAGUCACGUAGUUUUUAGUAGUACUAGCGGAGGUGUAAGAGGGAUCCCAGUAAUAUGCUUUGGGACUCCCGGCGAUAGAGUAAAAGGCCAUGGAAGGAAUGACCGAAUUCUCCGAACUGGAAGAACUGAAAACGGCUUAGCCUCGCGAGGCGUCUCGACGAGGGAUCCGCCCUGCCGGAAAACUAAAAGGCCGGAGAUCUUCUCCAGAGGCAUUGCUUUUACCUGAGUAGGAGGAGCAGGUAAAGUCACUUCGAGCCGCCCCACACUUUGCGUCUCUAACCGCACCGAAACUACCCCGGCAAUCUAGGUAAUGAUCGUUAAAAGCCUCCGGCAGGAGAACCAGAAAAGUGGCCUCAGUGAACUCCAACACGUCGCCGUUUUCUGCCUUGCCCGCCCCUUUUCAAUCUUCCUUAACCUCUAGGUUUUAGCGGGCUUCUCCCUGGUUUCCCCCAAUACGUUUGAUCACCACCUAACGAACUAACCAAUUUCAACAGCUUGUGGUUUACCCGCCCCUUUUUACCUCGGUCUCAAGAAUUCCCGAAAUGUAGGUUUCGUAGGACCAAACUUGGAACGCCCAAGAAGCCCACGGAGGGGUAUCGUUUGGUUUCAUGGACAUCUUGUUUUUCUAGUGAUAUAUCAAGAGUCGUUGAUAUUUUUUGCAUUAAACUUGUAUAUUAAUUAUAGAUUCGCACUUUUUAUAUAUGUAUGUUUCUCCUUCGUCAUUGUUGUUAUCAUUUCUUUAAUACUAAUUGACAUCUUUACUUUUCUUGUUUCACUGGUAUAUUUUAUCAAAUUUUAGUAGUCCUUUUUUUUCUUUUUUUUGUCUCUCUUUUAAAGAGUUACUUUGAUGUUUUAUUCUCUAUUUUCUUUUUUGCUUCUUGUUUGGAUCUUUUUCAAGGAUUCCGUGUUUUCACUCCUAAAUGUGUAUGUCACUUUGGGAUCUUUUCUCGAUUCCUUAUAUAAGCUGCUUUGUAUGUUUUUGGUUGGUUUGGGAUCGUUUGAUUUUUGGUCUUUUUUGGCCGCUUGCAUCGUCUCUAGGUCUUUUUAACCUUCGAGCACUCGUUUUUUUUAGCCUAAAAGCUUCACCCAGCUUCUCUAACUUCGUUAAGCUGCUUUUUUUAUCGAAGCCUCUAGUUUAAUCACCUAUUUAAUCCGCUCAUUUAGUGUCCUUUAAACCCCUUUCCCUCCCCUAAUGGAGCUCCUCGGCCUUUGGGAUCUUUAAACGUUAAAAAACGAGCAUAAAUCUAGCCACUUUUGGGAUCUUUUCUUAGGCUCUUAACCUAGGAGCUAGAUAAAAUCUUCGGAGUGGUCGCAAGCCCAAGGGAAGUUACCUAAACAAAAAUCCCUGUCUCCGGGACCGAAACUGCCCCUCUGUGCUCAAAACAUGCCUGCCGCAGGCGUACGCCUCCCCCUUAUACGCCACCUCUAACUUCUUACUCACUAACCUGCCAGCUAACGUGCCCAGGCGUACACCGCAUCAAGCAUGUUACUCGAGACGGUAAACUACCCAACCCUCGGCAACCUAACAAACCUCUAAGCACCACGGGUUAUAGACAGCUGGCGAACAACUGCUAUCAAUCUUCGAUCUAAUGCGAACAGGAGACGACUGAAACGUUGCCACGUUUUACAUGAAGUUUUACAUUAACCAAAGAAAGAAGAAAAAAAAAAAGGAAAAAGAUUAUAUAUGUGUUAUUUUGAUAAAUGGAUAGAUUGGAGAAAUAUUUUUUUAUAAAGGAUAGAUCGGAGGAAAACUUUUUAUAAGAGGUAGAUCGGAGUAAAAGUUUCUAAUCUCUUUUUUUUUUUUUAAAAAAAUUAUAUAUAAUUCCCCAAUUCACUUCCUCUAAUAGAAAAAGAGAGAGUAGAGGAUAAUUAAAAAUAUAGUUUUAUUAAAAUUAGGGUAAGCCGGAUAUUUAAAGUACAAAAUUACAUAAUUUUGGAUUUUAUGCUCUUUAGGUUUAUCAAAAACCUAGUUCUAGUAAUAUUAGUUGAGGAAAGCUUGGUACGUAUUAUAAAAGUAGUUUUAUAUUUUUCUAAUCUUAACCAACUACGCGGUACACUUUUAAAAGAUAAAACUUUAUUUAACUAUACUCUAUUUAAUAUGUGUUUUUAAUCCCUCACUCUUCCCUAGAGCCCCUUCCUCUCUCUUUUUUUAUUAAAGGAGGUGAAUUGGGAAAUUAUAUAUAAUUUCCAUAAUUAAAGAGAAAAAAAGAAAUUAGAAACUUUUACUCCGAUCUACGCCUUAUAAAAAGUUUUCUUCCGAUCUAUCCUUUAUAAAAAAACAUUUCUCCGAUCUAUCCAUUUAUCAAGAUGUGUUAUAUCUGUUUGUAAUUGGCAUGUGCAAACUUCGCACUGUAUUUGAGGUUUAUACAAAAAAAAAAAAAAAACUCUUUAUCCAUCGAACGAUGGACGAAGUAAGUAAUUCGUUUUACUUAAUCCGAAUGUAUAACCUCCGUCGGUCCCGGAGGCUCCGCUUUGGUUGCUAAUGUUUUUGUCUUUUCUUUUUGAUCUGAUGGAAUAUCGAUGGGAAUGUUGAUUCUAUGUUUUCCCGGGAUAUCGUUGGGUAAGUUUAUUCUAUGCUCUCCCUCUUUGAGGAGUCAGGCUUCUUUGACCAAUGGACCGGAGUUAGGUUAGACACUAGUUUCUUCACUGAGCAAGUUCUUGGGCCUAUCGUAAUUCUGAGGGGAGCGUCUUCUAGGACAACAAAGCGAGACAGGUUUGGUGGGUGGUCUAACGGCGGUUAGGCCAAUCUGAAAAACGAGAGUUGAGCCGUAACACAUACAAUGGAUUAAGUCGGGUUUAGGAGGACCGUGGGGGAUGAAGGCUAGGCGAAUACAGACGUUGAGGGCAUGUUUCAUCUUCCAUAGACUGCUUAUGUGUGAGGGCUUUUUCCACUAGUGACCAAAGACGAUUGUAUCGCGUUUUUUACGUCAUACCUAGCUGUACCGGGGGAGAAGCCUAUUAAGACAGACGCCAUUCGUUAGAGAGCGCCUCUUCAUAGGUUUACUUUUAAAACUAAAACUGGCCUUAAGACUCGGAGGUCUCUACUUGCAUCUGCCUCAGAGAGUCGGGACGUAGUCACUACUUGAGCAUUUCGCUAAACUGGCAUUUCUAAACUAAGCUUCAGGUAGAGGUGAAUUAACAUAGACCACGUAGGCUACCUGAUAUGACUCGUUAGUCUAAAAACUCGUUUCAGGAGACGGCCGCCCGCAGCGACAGUCAUAAGCGUUAUUCCCGAGACCAAUAUUUUGCGGUAGAGGUGGGAAAUAGUAAGGUCGUAAAACUUUGACACCGGAGGAACAACCGUUGCGACCUUACUUAUGGACCUUUAGAUCAUGACUCUCCCCAAAGAAGUUAGGUUUAUAGUCUGGUGUCGGAUUAUAAAAAGGGCAACGGCUCGUGCAUGCUUUGUGGUGUAGACUUGUGAAGAGCUGUAGAGUGGUGUGAAGAGGUGGUGACCCUCACCCCAGCCUUCCGAGAAGGGAGUAUAUUGCCGGAAGAAGACCAUAUUAUAUUUCUAAAUUAGUUGGAGGGGGUAUCGACUAAGCCGAGAAACUUCUUCGCGGUGGUGGUAAACCAAUCAUCUCGGCAUAAGCGACGAAGGUACAGAAACUGAGGAUCGGGGGGAAGAAAAAACGAAGAUGUUUAAUCAAAGGUUGAGUGGUCUGUACUCGGAGGGCAUUAAAAGCUCGAUGGANNNNNNNNNNNNNNNNNNNNNNNNNAGGGUUGAGUGAGUUAUUGGUUUAAUGUUGAAUAUAUAUAUAUAUAUAUAUAUAUAUAUAAUUAGGCUGAAAUACUAUUAAUAGCACUAAGCUAUUGGUGCUAUUAGGUUUUCAGCCCUUGGAUGAAAAUAUGUACGAGAUGUGGGCUCCCUAGGGUUGAGUGAGUUAUUGGUUUAAUAGUAUAAUCUAAUGAGUAAAAAUAGUUAAAAAGUUAAAUCUAACGGUAGAAAAUUUGAUAGCACCAAACGCUUGGUACUAUUGAUAAUAUUCCAGCCGAACUAUAUAUAUAUAUAUAUAUAUAGUCAUUGGAUUUUAGUGGCCACUAAUAAUAAUAAUAAUAAUAUAAAAAUAAUAAAGUUUGGCCCAACAACCUUAAAUACAUAUCACUUAAUCAUGUCGAGAAAGAUACAGUUACAGCCGUCCAGUUAGUUGGCCAAUCCACGCCUACCAACUAACCACAUAUCCAACCCGACCUACCAAUUAACUUAUUCUCACCACUAUUUUGAUACUACAAAUAUCUAGAAUCUAUUGCCAUUUUAAUAUUUAGUUCAAAUUUUUAUAUAUAAAAAGAUCUUUUGCUUAUUUAUUUAUUAUUAUUAUUAUUCAAAAUUUUUAAAGUUUUUCUAAAAUUAUUAAAAUACUUUUCUAAAAUCCAGUCUAUUAGUAAAUCCUAGAAAAAAUAGAAAUUUGAAAAAAAAAAAAUUUAAAAUUAAUAAAAGUACUUUGGUUCUUCAAAAAUAAAUAAAAUAUUUUUAAAUUUUUAAAUGAUAUAUUAGAUAUUAUUUCUUUAUAAGAAAAAUAUUACUUAUAUACUCUGAAAGAGUGUAUGCAGGUACACCUCAUCAUCCUACGAUUUAAAAAAAAAAAAAACAACUUAACAAUUGGGGGUGUUAAAUAUAUAUACACUAUCUUUGGGGUGUAAAGAUAGUAGUGCUCAAANUGUAGAAACAGAAUCCUAAGGCCUAGUUUUGUAUUGUUGUCAUUUUUUUUUUUUUACUUUUUUAAACACUAAUUUUGUAUAAUUUGAUGUGUUAGAGAAUUUUUUCUUUUUUUAAAUGUUUUUGUUAUAGUUGAUUAGAUUACCAUGUGUAUCAGGCUAAGUGAUAAAUACAAUUUAUCUAAAAAGAUUUGAAAAUAGAAAAAAGUUAUUUUUAAUAUUUUGUUUUUUGUCCUCGAGUAACACUUUAGAUGAAAAGAUGGUAAGCAAUUUAUUGUCCUCGACAACUCUUUUUUAUAUGGGAAAUUUUAUUUUAAAAGUAGGGUCAAAUGCAUACAGCUCCCUACAAACAUAGCCAAUUGCGGAUAUAUCCCUGCAAAAUCGAAACUCCAUAAUUGUUCCUACAAAAGUCCCAAGUUAUGCAGAUAUGUCCCUGCAGUUAUCAUCUGUUAGUGAGCUGUUUGUUUUUUAACAGUGAAGUCGUGAAAUGACCAUUUUAUCCUCACAAAUAUAUCCCUCCAAAAGUUUUCCUCUUCCCCUUCUCUUUCUUUUCCUUUUCGGACCGUCGAAAAAGACGACGGCGGCGGCGGCGCGGGGUCAGGUUCGCCGACGACGAAGAAAAGGCAAGAACGCCGAGCACCGGAGCUCUACCCGGAGCUCGUCGCCCUCAACGUCGUCCCCUCCCUCGUCGGCACCGACGCCAACGUCCUCGGUGACCACGACGACCCCGCACACGCCCUCGUCGCCGCCCUCGUCGCCAACAACGCCCUCGAGCUUCUCGUCUAGAAACUCGCCCGCCUUUCCUUCGAGAUCGACCCCGACGAGAUUCUUCUCCCUCGCCGGUGACGAAGAAGAGGGAAGAGGAAGAAGGAAGAAGGAAGAAGAAAGAAGGGAGAAAAAGGGAGAAGAGGAAGAGGGAAGAGGAAAAGGAAGAGGGUUCGCCACCGUCGCCGUCAUAUCUCCUCGCCGGCGACGAAGUAGAAGGAAGAGGAAGAGGAGGAAGAGGAAGAGGGGUAAAUACGUCAAUUCACACUAUAAUUAAUCAUGGUUAAGUAUUUUAAGCAUGGUUAACGAAAAUUUUCUAACAGAUCUGGACGGUAGGGAUAUAUCUGCAUAACUUAGGACUUUUGCGGGAAUAACUUAUGGAGUUUCUAAUUUGCAGGGAUAUAUCCGCAAUUUACUAUGUUUAAAGGAACGUGUAUACAAAUAACCCUUAAAAGUAAUAUAGACGAUAUCUAAAUUUUUAUUUUGACAAUUAGACCAUCUAAAUUAACUUUAUGAAAACCUCUAUACCUGUAAAUUUAUUCCCACCACCAUUUCGAGUGCUACUAUAAAUAUCUAAAUACUAUUGAUAUAUUAAUAUAUAUUUACAAUAUACAAAAAAAAUGUGUAAAAAUUCAUGAAUUCUAAAAUUUUAAUUUUGACAAUUAGACAUCCUAAAUUUUAUGAAAUAGUUUAAUUGUCCUUCUGAUCAAGCAAAAUUUUGCAUAUAGUUUUUCUAUAAUUUAAAAAAAAAAUUAAUUUUUUUUGUCUUUCUUGUUUUUAUAGGUAAGUAUGGUGAUGAAAAUAUAAAGUGAAUCUACCUUUAAUUUUAUUACUUUUCUGAUAUGUUAGAAUGGAGAAAAAUAGAUUUUUUUUAUAUUUUUAAAUAUUUACAAAAUGGAUAUAAUUAUUACUGUCAUAUUUUUAACUACAUACAUCUUUAAUUAUAUAUUUUUUUUUUUGUUACAUCCAAUCUUAAUAUUUUUUUAAAAAAAAAUAUUUAUUCUCGAAAUAUGAAAAUUUUUGAUUAAAAUUUAUUUAAUUCAUUCCACAUAAAAAAACUGCGGCGGGAGCGAUUUUCUCGGGUGGAGUUUGAAACGCGGCACACCCGUUGGUGGGCCCCACGGGCCGUCCCCAUCUCUCCACCGUACGAUCUCCGAAUCGAUGUAUCUUAAUAUGUGCGAUGACGUGUCGCUGUACACCGACGCACGGAAAAGGAGGAUUUCGCCACGUGUACGCCUAAGCGUCGGGCCCGAUCCACGUCACUCGACCGUUUUUGACCGGCACGUGUCCCUCUCCGGUUGGUUUAACCGGGUCGGUGACCGGGAGGGGCAUUUAAGUAAGGAAAAUAGUAAACACACUGCCCAUGUUGUUGUUGUUGUUACUUAUACUCGCUCCUCGGCGGCGAUUUACUCUCCUCUCCUCGGCGGCGAUGGUAAUGGGGUGGUGGGACCGCAUCGUGUUCCCGAUGCGGAGGGUCUGGAUCGGCGUCGCCUCCCGCCUCGGGAUGCGCAAGUCCGGUAAGAUGGACGGCCGCGAUCGAUUCUCGCCUUCGCCGGAAUUUUCCUUNCUAUUCUUUUUUUUUUCCUUCUUCUUUCUUCUGUUUUUUCAUUUCUGGCCUGACAAUGGCGGUGGCAGUUUGGAUUGUUGAGCAGCGGCGGCGGCGGUCUCGACGGCGUCGGCGUUUGUGCACAACAGCAUCGGCGGCAGUCACUACAGCAACGACGGCAGUCACUACAGCAACGGCGACUUUUCUCCUUUUCGUUUUCUCUUUUUUUUUAAAAAAAAACUCUUCUCCUCAUUCUUUUUUUUAUUCUUCUUCUUUUUUUUCUUUACUUCUUGCCUGACAACAUCGAAUGGCAGCUUAGGCGGUGCCAGCGGCGGCUUGGGCGGCGUCGGCAGUACGCACGACAGUGGGAAGCAGCGUCAGCGGUCAUGGUGGCAGUGGCGGCCGCGGGGACAAUGGCGGUCGCUACAACAACAUCAGCAGCGGUCACGACGGCAACAGCCACCGUUUUCCUUUUCUUUUUUUUUUUCUUUUUUUUUGUUUCUCUUCCACUUAUUCUCUGUAACUCGCUCUUCUUCUUUUUCUUCUUUUUUUUUUUAUCUCUUCUUCCUCCUCUUCCUUCUUCUUCUUCUUCCUCUUCUUCUAUUUGAAAGAUAAUUGAAAAUUUAAUGUCACUAUAAUUUUUUUUCCCUAAAAACACCUCCUUAAAUAUAUUUUUUUAAAAAUUAAUUAUUUUUUCGCAUAUUUUUUUAUUUUUAUUUAAUUAUUUUUUUUAAAUAUUAUAUUUAUAUUAUCUAUCCACAGCGAAGCGCGGAUCCUACACUAGUUAUAUUUUAUAACACAUCACUAUUACUCAGGAGGAGGAUCAAACAAACUCUCAUGUUAUUUUAUUCAUUACCGGUUAUUACAGGAUCGGAUGUGCUGCUCUAAUCACUCCAAACAUGUUCGUCGACUUAAUUUAGUAAUGCACACAACACUCCCAACUUAAACAAAAUUAUACCAUACAAAACAAAAUUUCAAAUUUGAAGAGGGAGACCGACCGUCCCUACGGCAAGUGGCAAAAUAUUUGGUGGUUGAUAUCCAAGGUCCCAAGUUCGAGUACUAAUUGAUUUACAUUUUCAGCUAAAUUUAUUUUUAAAUAAAAUAAACGAAGCGGGUAGCGUGCUAUCUAUCUCUCCAAAAAAAAAAAAAAUUGAAGAAGGAGAGAUUUAAGUAACCGUAUACAACAAGAAGGGAGGAUUCUAAUCGACUCUAACACUUUACUGUGGAGAUAUAUAAUCAAUAACCAUCUCAUUUUCUUUACGGAAAAAGGCUCAUUCAAUACUUGCCGAUCACUGCAUCUGCAUUCAUGGGACAUACAAAAAGCCCAAACCACAAAGCAAAAGAGUAGGCCGCUCUGAUCCAGUCAGUUUCAGCAACAAUCAUAGAUGGUCCCUCAUCUACUGACUUUUAUCUUACACGUCCACUCUGUAACUGACCUCAUUUUAAUUCAGCAAUGUCUGGGUCAACCUUUUCCGUUGACCAACCCUUAAAAAAAAAAAUUCAAAUACCACCCCUAUUAUUUUGCUUUUUUUUUUUUAUUUUAGUACUAUACGGUUUAAAGUNUCUCUGUGUAUCGCGUUUUCACCCUUUUUUUUUUUUUACCAUACUUGUUUGUUGCGUUGUACGUAUUAUUAUUAUUAUUGUUAGUACUCUAAAUUAGAAUUAGUAGUGUAUGAUUACUUUUAAUGAGUAUCAUUAUUAGGGAUAAUUUUAUUUUAACUCGUUCUAGAAUUAGUAGUGUAUGAGCAUUGCUUCGAUUUUUUUUUUUUCUUGGGAAUUAAUGUUCAGGAGGAGGAAAAAUGAAAAAUCGAAAUUUUAUGGCCCGGAAUGCAUAUAGUGGGAUUUUUUUGUUUGUUUUUUUAUGCUGCCUCUCAAUAUUUAUUUAUUUAUUUAUCUAUUUUUCUCAAUUUGGAUUUUUUUAAAAAAAAAUAUUUCAUGAAAUUAAGCAAAAUUUAAUAUAAAGUAGAAAAUGAGACAUAUAAUUUAUUUUGCGCUCGAAUUUUAGAAAAUUUAGAGAAAGUAAUGAAACUAUUAUUAAUUUUUAUUUUAUUAAAAUUAUUAUUAUUAUUAUUAUUAAUGUUGGGCUUAAGAUGGGUCCAUAAGGUGGUUGGCUAUACUUAUUUGAGGUGGACGGUGUUAAUAAAUAAUAAAUAAUAAAUAAUAAAUAAUAAUUAUUAUUAAGGGGAAAGAAACAGAAGAUACUAUGCCUUGGAUAUUGUAAUCAGAAUAUUCCCGAAGAAUAUUCCCUCUAUGUAUGUGUGUUUUUUUAAAAAUUUUUAAUUAAUGCUAAGCACGAGAUUUGUGGUGAGUGACCACCAAAAUAAGAAUCGGCACUGUAUAUAUUCUUUUAUUUUAUCUUAAAAUAAUAUGAUAAUAUAUAUAUGUUAAUAAUAAUAUGUAUGCUCCUACCACGUUCUUUGUGGGGUCUUUUUAUCACAGCAAUUUGUUUGUUUAUAUAUAUGUAUGCUAGUGAAAUGCGCUCGCUGCGGCGGAUCGAUUUUAUAAAAAUAAAUAAAAUUAAAAUAAUAAAAUAUAAAUAAAAGAAAUUAAAGAAAAACAAUAGCUGCUAUAAUAAAAGCAUAAGAAUAAAAAUAUACAAAGAAAAAAAAUAUAAAAAUUAUAAAUUAUAUUUAUAAUAGCAAUAACAGUUGAGAAUUAAAAUAUCAUAUAUCUAAUUAAAAUAUGAGUUUGAAAGCGUCACAUACUUUAUAAUUUGAGCAAGAAAAUAUUGCCCAUUAAAUUUGAGGACUAAAUUAUCACGCGUCUUAUAAUUUUAGGAUCAAUAGUGUAAUUUAUUCUUUUUAUAUUUUAAUUUUAUUCUAAAUGAAGACCGUUGGUCUGUUUUGUUCAAUCAGUAAUUUUAUCAAAAAAAAAAAAAUUGUUAAGCCAUCUAAUAAAUUUUAAUAUUAGAUUUGAGUCAAUUACUAAUGCUUUUACUUUAAAAUUUGAAUGCUUCUUUUAGCUUUAUAGAUUUAGUUACUAUACUUUAUGUAAUCUUUGUAACUAAAUUUAUUAAAAUAAAUAAUUAAUUUAAACCUCAUCAAAUUUUUUUUUAUUUAUUUUUGAGUAUAUAAUCUAUAUGUAAUUGAUUAAUAUUAUAAAACUAAAUUUUUUAUUUAAUAAUGUAAUCUAAACUAUUUAAAAGUAUAUAUAAAUAAAGUCUGGUUGGGAUUCUAUCGAUAACACCAAACGUUGGGUGCUAUUAAGUUUUUCACCGUUAGAAUUAAGUCUGUGACUAUUUUUAUCCGUUAGAUUAUACUAUUAAAUCAAUAACUUACUCAACCCUAAAGGGCUCACAUCAUCUUAACCAUAUAUUUUUUCAUCCAAGGGCCGAAAAUCUAAUAGCACAAAUAAUUUGAUACUAUUAGUAGCAUUCCAGCAUAGUUCGUAUGAAUAUUUAUAUAUUUUAUUUUUCUAUAAUAAAAGAGAAAAAAAUUAAAUUGAAUUAAAAAAUAAAGUCUAACUUUAUAAUGAAAGAAGAAAAUUAAAUUAAAAAAUUUUAAAAAAACCAUUUCUAGUGGGCCCUACACACUCCCAAACCCACCGUCCCACUCCCCCUCCUCCUGCACGAAAAAUUCUAAAAUGCAACAGGUGUAUUAGUGAUGUGGCGUAAUAAACCAAUCAAAUGUAUCAUUUUAAGAGUAUCUGUCCAAUCAUGAUUCAUGAUUGUAAAAAAAUAUUUUUAUUGUACUCUUUGUUUGAAAAGAAGGAAUGUGAUUGGCUUGUUAUUGAUGACAUUGUGCAAGUGUGACAGUGUAGAAUUCCUCCUGCACGCGCUCCCCCGCCACGUGGCAUCCGACUCUCAAUUCAUGAUAUUUAAUUUAAUAGAUAGAGAGAGAGAGAGUUGAGCUGAAAUAUUAUUAAUAAUAUUUAAACUGUUUUGUUAUAAAUUUUUUAGCUGUUAGAUCUAUACUUUAAUCAAUUUUAUCUUUUAAAUCAUACUAUUCAACCAGCUAUCCACUUAAAUCUUAGGGGGACCACUACUAAACCCUAGGGAUCACUAUUAUUCUAAUCUUAUUAUUUUUAAUCUGAUAAUUAAAAAUUCGAUAGCAAAAGAGUCUAAAUACUUUUAAUAGUAUUUCAGCCUAAUUUUCUCUCUCUCUCCUCUCUCUCUUCUCUCUAUAUUAUAUAUAUAUAUAUAUAUAUAUGGGUCCGGCUACUAUACUAUUAUGAGUACGAUCGCCUUCGUACUCAUAAGUUGUUUUCGAUGAUAGAUCUUCCGAAUCGACGAUCCACACCGUUAAACGUCAUUUUACAGCAUUUAAAACUUCCUAGAAAUCAAUUUAUAAUUUUCGACGUCAUUUACCUUACCAAACGAUCAAGAGGUCACAAAUUUGACAAUUUUUAACGGCCGGUAUGGGAUACUUGCUAGUUUAACGGUGUAAAAGAAUCGAAAUUUGUUGAAUAUUUGAUAAAAAAUUUUAUUCAAUACAUAUAUAAAGAUCAAUAACUCCGAUCUUGAAUUGAAGGAUCCGAUCAUCCUUUUUAGGACGUCGUUCGAUUUUGACCGUUCAUUUUAUACCCACUUGAUGGACUUUAUUAUAAUUUCGAAAAUUUACGAAAUUUAUUUUCUAGAAGUUUCAAAUACUCUAGAUCAUAUUUAACGGAGUGGAUCGUCGAUUUGGAAGCUCCAUCAUUGAAAACAACUUAUGAGUAUGAGGGCUCCAAUACUCAUAAUAGUAUAGUAGCCAUGGCCUAUAUAUAUAUAUACACAUAUAUAUAUAUAUGCUAAAUUAUGAGCCGUUACUAAUUGGAUAGCAUAGUUUUUCCUUUUUUUUAAUUAGUGGCGGAUUUCUUUUUCUAAAAAGAAGGAUAAACUUUAAUUUGCCUCGGUGUAAUGUUUUUCUUUUUAGAGAAACAGAUGGUUCAAAAGAUCUUCUGUUCGCUUUAUUUAUUAAGCAAAUAAAUUAGGCAAUAGAAACUGAGUCAACUAGGCUUCCGCAUAGUUGAUUUUACUUUAAAAAGUUAAAAUUAACUAUCCUAUUAUUUAGUGUGUUUUUUUACUUUACUAUCUUGUUAUUAAAAGAGUUACAAUAAAUUAUCCAGUAAUUUUAUUUUUAUUUUAGUGUAAGGACCCGAGGUUAAACUAUUCUGUAGUUUUUUUUUUCAGUGAAUAAAGUAUAGAAUAGUUAAACACAACUUUUUGAAUCAAAGACCGACUAUCUCUAAAGCAAGUGGCAAAAGGCUUGGUGAUUGGUACCCGAGAUCCAAGUUCGAAUCCUAGUUGAUUUACAUUUUUAGCUAAAUUUAUUUCUAAAUGAAAUAAAUGAAGCGAGUAGCGUGCUACCUAUUUCUCAAAAAAAAAACCUUUUUGAAUCAAAGCGGCUAAAAAUUCUUACCCAAACAGAGCUUUGGAUUUUAGUUCUUCUUUGGGCUGCAUGUUCACUUGCUCUGGGCUCUUAUGGGGGGACCAAUUUCUCUUUAAAUUGUUGAAUUUACAUGGGCUUGGUAUAAUGUAGCCUCUAUAUUAGUAGAGGUUUGGUUAGGUUACUGGGGUUGUCAAUUUUUGUAUUUUCAAAUUUUCAAAACGUUUUUGGUGUCACAUUGAAGGAGAGAUUCAUUAGUUAAUUUGCUAAGAGCCUGUUUAGAUGUUUCUUUUUUUUUUACCCUUUGCAGGAUGUCAACAGAUCGGAUUCGGGACGGAUUUUUACAAAUCCGAACCUAACUCCAAACCCGAAACUCGAACCCGAUGAAUUUUAAAAAUUCAUAUCCAAAUCUGAACCCGACCAACAAUCCUACACCCGAACCCGAAAAUUCGAAUCCGAAACAAUUAUUUCUCUUUUCAAUAUUUCAAAAUAUAUUACAUUAAAUCUAAAAUUUGAAAAUACAAAUUCAAAUAUAACAUUAAAUUUUUAUAUAUAUAUAUAUAUGUAUAUAUAAUGUAAAAUAAAUACGGGUUCGGAUCCAGUACAAUCAAAAUCCAUAUCCGAAUUCAUAUCCGUUGGAUUUUUGUUUUUGAUAUCCAUAUUCGAAACCAUAUUCGUCUAGUAUCGGAUAAAUCCGUUCUGUUCGGAUUCAAGUUCGGAUAAAAUUUCGAGUGACACUCCUAUUUGCGCCGGUAGGAGAAUGAAGUAACCAUCACUCUUGUUUCAGAGUAUGUUCCUUCUUUGAGUUUCAUCUGCAAGACUGCAGCUUACUCUUAUCCAAACAAGUCUUAUUAGGGAAAAAAAAGUUAUUCCCAUGUCACUACUUAAAAUGGAAAUUUAAGAUGCAAUUAGCUAUAUGUUUGAGAUAGCUAUUUGAUGCUUCAUUAGGUGAUAAAUAAAAAGAAUAAAGGCACAUAAAAACAAAGGAAAUGUCAUAGUUAAAAAUUAGUAGAACUAAAGAGUAGAUAUGCACAGAGAGAGAGAGAGAGAGAGAGAGAGAGAGAGAGUACCCAAUAAGGAAAUGAUAUAAUAAGCCCAGAAAAAACUGAUGAAAAAGAUUUAUUGGGAAUAAUUCCAAACGUAAGACCGUUCUAUCCGUCAUUCGUACAAUUUUAAAUUUUCUGUUGUCCAUACGACGGACGGUGGAUGAAAUAGUCUCACAUUCGAGAUUUGUCUGCACUAAAUAUUUAUUUCAAAAUGUAGAUUAAGAUUAAAUAGCUCAUGUAAUACAUGCUUUAUUUGAACGAAAUAAUUUUCCUGUUUUUUUUUUUGUAUCAAAUACAAUUUUUGUUUUGGUUCAAAUUAACCUGACCUUUUAAUCAUCUUUUGCGUACAUAACCGAUGAAAUAUGAAUAAUAAUUUAGUAAUAAAACAACAAGUUUGAUAUUUUCCUGAUAAGAAACAGAGUUUGUAGUGCAAUUUGACCUCUUCUCUAUAAAAAACCUUUUCUACAAAUUUACCUCAAAAAAAAAAACUAUUUUUUCAUUCUAGUCCCUAAUCUUCUUUUUCACCAUUUAAGUUUCUAAUCUUUAGUGUAAUUUUAAUUUAACUCAUUGUCUUUAUAAUACCACUAGUUUUGAUGAAAAAUUGCCAUGUAGCGAGAUUCAAUUCUUAUAUAUUGUGCUCUGGAGCUCAACUGGACUGAUCGAUUGGACUAAAAUAAUUAUAGUUUAAUUUGAAAAAUAUCAUACUAAAAAAAUAGUCAAGUAAUUAAUCAGUAGAGCCAACAAGUGAUUCUGAUUAUAGAAGAAAAGUUAUUAUUAUUAUUAUUAUAUUAUUAUUAUUUUUAUAUAUGACUAAAAUAAAUUGUCUAUAAUUUUUUAAAAAUAUAUAUAUAUUUAAUAUACAUUAAUAAUUCGACUUCAAUCAAAAUUUAGGUGAAUUUCUAGAUCAUAAGCCUUUUUUAUUAUUGUUCUUUUGUCAAAAAAUUAUUAAUAUAAAUAUUAAUGUAAUAAAUAUUUGUCAUAUUUAUGGUAUUUCUUUUUAGAGUUAACUAGUAUAUGACUCGUGCGAUGCACAGCUAAUGUAAUAAUAUAAAAUAACAAAAGUUAUUAUAGGAUGAUAAAAGAAAAAUAUUUUAAUUAAUAUUAUAUUUUUUUUAACAAAUAAAGAAAUAUACUAUCAAUCUUAAUUAUAAUACAUAUUAAAUUACGAAAGCUAGAGAAACAAAAUUAUGGACCAAAAUAAAUACUCAGGUAAAGAGCAAAAUUAAACCAUGCUCUAUUAUCUAUGAAUUGGUGUGCAAAAUAAUUUGUUUAAUAGUAUUAUUAAUUAAGAUUGAUAGUAUAUUUGACAUUAAUAAUUAAGUAUAAUUUGAUUUAAUAAUGUUUCCUAAUAAAAUUCUAUUUUUAACCAUCUAAUUGCUAUAUUUGAGUUUGACAUGUGGCAAGUAUAUAGAAAGAUGCAUGAUAAACAUUUAAUUUGAUUUAAUUGUAUAUAUAAUUAUAAUUUAAUUUAACGGUGUUUAAUAGUGUUUACUAAUAAUAUUCUAGUUAAUUGUAUAUAUAAUUAUAUUUAAUUGGUAUAAUUUGAUUUAAUAGUGUUUCCUAAUAAAUAACCUAUUCUAUAUUUGUAGUGUUUCCUAGUAAAAUUCUAAUUUGUAUAAUUUAAUUUAAUUUGAUUUAAUAGUAUUUUCUAAUAAAAUUUUAUUUUUAAUCAUCUAAUUGCUAUAUUUGUGUUUGAUAUGUGGCAAGUAUAUAGAAAGAUGCAUGAUAAACAUUUAAUUUAAUUUAAUUUGAUUUAAUUGUAUAUAUAAUUAUAAUUUGAUUUAAUAGUGUUUAAUUGUGCUUUAUAAUAAAAUUCUAGUUAAUUGUAUAUAUAAUUAUAUUUAAUUGGUAUAAUUUGAUUUAAUUUGAUUUAAUAGUCUUUCCUAAUAAAAUUGAUAUUCUAUUUAUAGUGUUUCAUAAUAAAAUUCUAGUUAAUUGUAUAUAUAAUUAUAUUUAAUUGGUAUAAUUUGAUUUAAUAGUGUUUACUAAUAAAAUUGCUUUUCUAUAUUUAAGUUUGACGCGUGGCAAUCAUAUAAAAAGAUACGUAUCAGUUUUACAUCAAGAGUUCUACUUUAGUAUAUAGUAAAAUUGAGUUUGACACGUGGCAAGUAUAUAGAAAGAUACGUGUCAGUUUUACACCAAGAGUUCUACUUUAGUAUAUAGUAAAUAUAGUAAAUAAAUAGUUUUUUCAACGACCUAUACUGAUAUACAUUAUCUAAUAAAUAAAUACUAAAAAUUAAGGACCGGAUUGCAAAAAAAAAAAAAAAAAAAAUGAAUCGAGGACCCAAAAAAACACGAAUGAAGGUUAGGGACCAACAAGGCAAUUAACCCUUUAAAAUCCGUCGCUUCUCUUCUUCCUUCCUCGCUUCUUUCGCAGCGCAAACGAUGUCGGAGAACCCCUUGGAGCCCCUCCUCAAAACCCUAGACUCAAUCUCGCGCUGCGUCCAAACUCACCUCUCCCGCGUCUUCGUCGCCCCCCAAAACGCUUCUCCAAAACCCACGCUGCUUCGUCCCCUCUUAUCCUUCUCGCCGACUCCCGUGGCUCCGGAUUCUACCACUUCACCCAUAAAGGUGCGCCCUUUGCUUCUCUUUUGCGUCCAAAGAAGAGGUGUUGAGCGCUUAUGGAUUUGGGUUUUACGAGGUCUGUGUGUUUGGGGCUUUGUUUAGGAGAAAAAGGCGGCGCCUUUAACGAAGGAGGAGCUCGGGAGGGCGACGUGGACUCUGCUCCACAGCAUUGCGGCCCAGGUGUUUGGUUUUUUGCCUCUGUGAUGAUCUUGUGCUUUCUCAUGUUUUUUCCCUGAAAGUUACCUUGUCAUUUCGUAGUGAGUUCCUUUUUGUUGGUGAAAGAGGAGUAACUUUGUCUGAUAUUAGCCUUUGGAGGUAGAAAUGACGUAACCUUGUGUCAAUUUAAUCUUUGUAUUGUUUAAAAUGCUGUUGGAAAUGUUGAUUAUAAGAAACUGAGUGUCAAACAAGUGAUUAAUCUAAAAGUACAAGCUCUUAGCGAGUGGUGUUUUAAUAAUUUAUAUUCAACACUUCUCAUUGUAUCUAGGCUCAAGACAUUUUGAUAGGCCAAGAUGCAGGCUACAAUUAAAUGGAGGGAAAGUAAUUGCGACCUGCUCUGAUACCAUAUAAGACAACCAAUUACUCUAAAAAGUUAAGCUAUCAGAUAACAUUGUUUUAAUAUUUUAUGUUCAACACUGAGCUGGCCCAUUGAUACUUUUUUUGGCUUGCUUUCGAAUAGGUAUUAGCAAUAGAUACUUAAUUAGGAUGUUUUCCUUUAUUAUCUUCUCGUGCAUGAUGGGGAUGUUAUGAUUGUUAAGAAUGUUAGUCCCAGAGUGUGAGACUUGAAGAUUUGAAAUAGUUCUAUAUAUAAGAUAUAAUAGAACUAAAUUUUUUAAUCCGGAUAUAGCAUUUUGGACUGUGGCUAGGUUCAAAAGAUUAAAGGAGUCAAGCGUGCUAGGGUUAGAGUAGUCUUAAGAUGCGUGACCCCCUGAGAAGUGGGGCGUCAUAGUUGGUAUAAGAACUAACUACCAGCCGGAAGUAUGAGAUGAGUCUCGGUUGAGCCAAGUUAUACAGUGGACAGAAUGAGACUCUCUGGCCGAUGACUGUUGUGCGUGGAGCGCGGCUUCUUAUAAGGUCGACUAAGGCUAGCGAGAUGAGUCUCACAUUGUCUGGUACUUGUGAGUGUGCUUAAGCCUGAUGAGGACGUCAGAGUUUAAAAGAGAGAAGAAUGUGAGACCCCAGGAUUUGGAAUAAGACUAAAUUUCUUAACCCGGCUGUAGCAUUUUGGACGGUGGCUAAGCCCAAAAGGUUAAGAGAGUUAAGAGUGCUAGGAUUAGAGUAGUUCUAUAAUGGGUGAUCCCCUGGGAAGUGGGACGUCACACAGAGGGCAUCCAGUGUGAACGACAGCCCCAGAAUCUAGUCCCAAAGAGGGCUUUGACAUGGUGCCAGAGUCAGCUUAAGUAUGAAAGGCACCUAGUAAUUGUUGGUUGAAUAAUUAAGUUUCUUAAAUUAAGGCUGAAAUUCAUUAUUCUGAUCUGUUUAACCAAAUCUAAAUUUCGACUAGGUUGCGGGCAUGCAACAAGCACCUAUGUUUGGCUUCGGGAGUUGACUAAACUUGGUUUAUUAUAUUUAUUUUGACCCAUGUGUCACACAUUUAUUGGCUAGAAGAAAUGAUUUUGCUUUCUUCUAGCUGGAAACAGCAUUUAUUAGCCAUAUGUAGUGUGAGCAGCUUUAUGGAGUUGAGAUUUCUGCUGAAACCAACGAUAAUAGACAGAAUAUUCUUGUAAGUUAAGUUUUCAUACUAGAUUUUUUUCUGUUGAACUACUUUCACAAGUCUGCUACUUGUUCUGCUAGCUAUCAAAUUAAGGGCUUACCUUGGUGUAUAUCAUUCUCCUUUGGACACAGCACAUUGAUUUUCUGUAUCUUGUUUAAUACUUUUUCAGUAUCCUGAUCACCCAACAAGGCAGCAGAAAAGAGACGUGAAAGAAUUGGUAUGCAGCAAUGUCAUUUUCAUUUGCUAAAUUAUAUUGUUUAAUACCCGAUUGCAGCCAAUGGUGUCCAUUUCGUUUUGAUUAGAUUUUUCCAUGUUGGGACCAUGCACUAUGCAACAAUUGUACCCUAGGGCGUUGAAGACUUGAAGUUGAUUUUGUAGUUGCUCCAUGUAAAUUGCUAGAUUUAAUGAAAUAUGAUGAUAAGGUAGUGGUAGAUUUCUGCAGAAACAUUGGAAAUCUCUUUUGCUGCGAUAGCUAUUAAUGGAUAAUAUAUUACAUGUUUUGUAAAUCGAAAUAUGAUAAAUAUGUUUCUUUUUUAAGUAUUGUUGCUCAGUUCUUUGAUUUUUUGUAUUAUUGUCUCUCACUAUAUUAAUUCGUAAUAUGUGACAAUUUUUUUUUUUUUGGGUAUAUAUUGUCGCUAAUCAGAUCGUUUUUUAGAUCUAAAAAAGACAAGCUUGAUUUCUACUUCAUGUUUUUUUUCUCUUCUUGCAAUAGUUCAUUAACCUUUGGUUCAUUCAACAAUGGAGUCUCAUAUUUUGAUCAAAUUAGACAUGAGAAUAACACAGGUCUUGGGUUUGUGCACGCAGAUGGCUAUAAUAUCUCGACUUUACCCUUGUAAAGAAUGUGCCGAUCAUUUUAAGGAAGUGUUGAAGUAAGUAUAUUAAUUACCUUCAUAGGACUUGCUUGCUAAAUUGUUAUCGCAACCCCUGUUCUGUACAAAAAAGUCAAAAUGCCAACAUUAUCAAUGUUUUUGAAGUGCUCUUGGGGUCUCUGAAGUUUCUUGGGUUUGAACCUCCCAAUUACAGUUGUUUGAUUUUGGUCGGGUUCCAUUAGACUUAGUAGUUUCAGUUACUUAAUAUUCGAAAAUAACAGAAUAUUCUGGUAAAUUCCGGAAUAUCCUGUCAAAAAUGUUUUAAGAAAGUUGGUCUCACCAAAGCUGACUAAAACCAUUUAGUAUAGUGGGGCGUUCAAAGCCAAAUAUAUUGAAGUCCAGGGAUCUGCUUUUAGAACACCUAGAGCUAUAGUUGGCUUGUAUUGGCUUAGAGAUUAUUUUUGGUGUGCACGUAUUACAUGAAAGAAUAAAGGGUAAACAUACAGCCAUUUGCUGUGUUGUGUUUUGGCAGAGCGAAUCCCGUACAAGCAGGAUCACAAGCUGAAUUCUCUCAAUGGCUAUGUCAUGUACACAAUGUGGUUAAUCGAAGGUAAAUUUAAUCCUCUCCGACACUGUACCUCUACUGUCCAUCUGUUUUUCAUUUUACUCACAGGAAGCAGAUUGAGUCAUUUUUCAGUAUUAAAAAGAGUUCAUCAUUUUUCUGACAUAUGUUUUUGGGUGAUAUUUAUAGCCUAGGGAAAGUGAUAUUUCCCUGUCAGAGAGUGAACGCUCGAUGGGGUAAGUUGGAUUGUAAGGAUCGGUCCUGUGAUUUGGAAGGCACUGUCGACAUCAAAACUUUAACUUCCCACACCUGAUGUAUCACAAAGGAUCAUUUUGAGUAGUGCGAUAUCUUUCUACAUCAAGGAAGAAAAGGAAAUACUAAAGUUCACUCUCUCUUGUUUUACCAUUUUUGUAGUCAAUUUGAAGUAAAGUUUAGAUGGACAUAAUGAUGCUCAUUGUACAGCAGUGCAAACCAUCGUGAAGGCAAAAAAGUAGUAAAAUGAUUAGAUUUUUAACUAUGGAUGAUUGUCAUUGAACCGUAUGCUAUAUGCAUUUUGAGACUGUGACAUGGCAUGUAUUGACGUAAGCUAUAUUAUGUAUAUUUGUCAAUUAUUGUCCGUUAAAUGAUUAGAAAAAAUUGGUUGGGUCAAUGCAGUUGUUAUGUUCGAACUGAAUCUUCAAUCUUGUGCAUGGCUUGGAUGAAAUCUGGUGAAUAAGGUUAUGCUGUAAUUGUGAAGUAGGUUAUGAGAAUAUGUAGUUGCUUAAGCGUUUUCACAAUGCCCAGAAUUGUAUGACUUGGUUUUCAACUGAAGCUAGUAAGUAACCUGGAAACAUUACUGUUUUUUUUUUCCCUGUCGUUUUGCUUCUAACUUUUUAAGGAACUCAUGAGGUGGAAUUCACAAUCCAGUAUAAAGCCCCCCUUUUUUCUGGCUAAAUUUUGAAAUGCACUUUGCCUACUAGAUAGCAAACCAUGCGUGUAUUGCCUUUUUUUUUUCUCUCUCUCUCUCUUUUUUUUUUUUUUUUUUUUUUUUUUUUUUUAAGGUGCUGUGCUUUUAUGAACAUCCCUUAUGCUCAUGAUAGAACAUUCGUACCGAUGAUUAAUAUCGUAAAAUAUAAUCUAAAAGAUUUAAGAUACAAACUAACUAAAAUUUGUCUUUUUGACAUUGUCUACAUUAUGAAAUGCACCUUAAAGUCGGUAAUUUUAAUGGCCAAAAUGAAUUAUUUUGGCAUUCAACAGUGUAAAGCAAUUAAAAUCAGUGAAAUUUUAGUCGAUAGUAUUUUUUCAUUGUUUAGAUUUAGAUCAAUAAGCUAACGCUUAUAACUCACUCUUAAGUUGAAAACUAUAUUUUCUACUUCCACAAAGCUGUUCAAUAUUAAACAUUUUAUUCUUUGACCCGUCAUUUUUAAAAUUGAUCAUCCAUAUCAUUAAGAAUAAGUACUUGGAACAUGUAGAAAUUGACUUUUUGCAUUUUUUUUUCCUCUCAAAUUUAUUCUCUGGAGUAGCAAAAGAUCACAGAAUCAAUGGUGAAAAUUAAACAACCUGAAAAACCCUAGCAUUUGUUUGGUUGGGGGUUAGGGGUGGAAUAACCCCUUAAUCCCCCAUAUUAUUUCCAAACAUUCCAAAAAUAGGUGGGGUUAACUAACCCAACCUCAAAUGAGCUAUUCUGGAUUAGCUAAUCCUAUCUAACCUCACCAAAUCCCAACCAAACACUAUUUUCUAUUCAUAAGAACCCACUAUCUUUCUUAUCCCACCUACUCCAACCAAACAUUAUUUUUUACUAUCCUGAACUAACUCCAAUCCUCAACCAAACACAAAAAUACUCUAAUUCCACCUUAACCCUGAAUUUAACUCUAUCUUUGAAAUAACUAAUUUUUCUUAAUUCCGAAUGAAACGGUAGCUUAAGAUCAAGAAAAUAUUGAUUCGAUAUUUAAAAUCAACAAUAUAUUCAUUUUCUUCACCCAUUGUUGCAACAUGAAAGUGCUGUCCUAUGACUCCUAUCAGUCAUACUUUUUUAGGAUAUUAUAUUAACUUACAACAAAAUUUAUCUUAUUUUAAUAAAAUGACUCAGCAAUUUGUAUACAGACAAGACAUGCGUGUACAAUUAAUGUCUCAUCUACCAAUUAUUGUAUCACCCUUGAAAAAAUAAAAAAGAUGUGUCGAUUUAAAUGUUCGUGCAUCCGGACAAGUAAUUUUGUGGCCAAGCAGAGAAGAUCUAAAUCCUUUUUUUGAGUUUUCUCAAAAUGUCUGAUUUUGUCUGAAGAACACAGAACAGAGUUUAAGCUUGUUCCAAAAUAACACCUACAACAAGAAAAGCUAAAAAACCAUGAGCAUUAUAUGAUCUCAUCUUGCUUUACAGCUUAAUAAGCCAAAAGACUUGCUCUAACUCUCACCCCUGUUAAAGAUCGAAAAAUGUACAUCAAUCCAGUUUCCGGUCAAAAGAAAACAUAAGAAAAGAUGGCCGUUAUUUUAAGAUUUUGCAGAGCCACCCUUGUUUUGCAAACUACAUAAUUCAACGCCAUCAAGCGAUCGGAAAGGCGGUCUCUGUCCAAACUUCAACAGAUGCGCGGCUUCAUAAACGGGUUGCAACUGCUGAAUCAACUGAACAUCUAGAUAUGCUUCACAUGCGAAGCACCAGACUGACAAAUCACUGUAAAAGAUCAAUUUAGUUAGAGAAAUAUAUAUGUACUAGUUCAACAAUUAAAAACUAAAAACAAAUUAAUUCUUUUAUAGAAAAGAUUGCACGGUUUGUUGUACCUGAAGCUAAGAGCAAGACAGUGGCCAGUUUCUUGAUGAUGAUUAAGCAUAUGUUUGUUGAUAAAGCGGCUGCAUAGGACCUCUUUGCAGCUCAAGCAUAGCCAGUUCUCAGCAGGAUGGUGGCAUCUGACGAGUACAGAUAUGCUUUCAUGAGAGGAAUAAUAAUAGGGUUUUACAGUCUCAAGGGUCAACCGCAAAUAAAAUUUUCAAUUUUUGAUUAUUUAUAGAAAAUCUGUAUCUUUUAUCCAAAGCUGUAAAUGAAUUAACAGAAUUUUACAAGUGUCACCAGCCCUCUAAAAAUUCGUGUCAUUGCACACGGGAUAAAGUUCUUUAAAGACAGAAUAAUCCAGCCAUAAAUAACAACUCAUCAUUGCAGAAAAGAAAAAUCGAGCAAAUCAAUAUCAAUGCUUAAAGAUGUCUGACAAUUAAAUCAAACCAAAAUUGAACAAUCAAUAUCUCAAAGGGCUUGUUGUGAGAACUUUCGUUAUCAGAUGAACAGCUGAGUAAAAUUCUGACGGCAAAAUACAGAUAUGCUGAAUCAGAGAUGAACUUAAUUAGGUUUAACAUAUAUAAGAAGACAAAGCUGCAAGAUAUUUUGGAAAAUUCAGAUGUAUACAAACAUGUAAGGAUGUCUUAGAAAGUAGAUCAGAAAAGUGAAAACAAAUGAUAAGAUUGGUCUAUUCAACUUUCAAAUUCAUUUCCAAGGCAAUAAAUGACUAAAAGUAGGUUCUUUAUCUUCUGCAAUAGCCAUUGUCAUACGUAGGGAUAUCACUUUGCAGGGUCAGGCGAAACCAGAUUAUGUCCAAUUGAGGCUCAAGGUCUAAUCCGCAGGAUUGAACCCAGACCAGCCCCAACCAAACUCAAAUAGCCUUGACCAUACAUUACUCAGGUCCCCAUUCCUUUUCCCUUCUUAUUUUUUCCAUGAAAUUCCCACCCAGAUUAAGCAUAAAUUUAAACAGAAUGGCAUAAUUUGUGACGCGCCAGUCAAGCUGGUCAGCCCACAAUGGCGGUUGCGUCCUUGGACAACAUCCUUGGUUGCAUGAGCUAACAAGGAGCAGCAUAUAGAAAGGAUAAAUGUUCCUGAAUCAAUAACAAUCUUUCUUCAAAAUAACAGAAUAAGCCACCUUCUUUCCAAAUAUACUAUAUACCAAUUAGAAAUACUUCUAAUACGUGCCAAAGAAAUGUAGAAAGAUGACUUAAUUCUAUGGCUAUUUGUAUAGUACCACGCAAGAAAACAAUAAAGAUAAAAGAAAGAAAUCAUAUUACCUAGUUUUCAUAAAAUGUGGCAGGAUUUUGAUCAAGAAAUGUUGAUGAACUUUGCUUAAAUAGUAUCAUACUUCUUUUAGGAGGAUACAAGUAAAGUCGAUGCUGAGACAUGAUUAGACAAUCCCCAAUCCCCUUUUCACUGGUACUGGACAGGACUUGACACUUCUAUUUCUUCCAAAGAAUUCCACUUUAAAAGACACAAUCUUACACUAUCAUGUCCAUAUCCUCACCAAAACUAUGCACCUUAUACUGUAUCACUUGUCUUUUGGCAUUACUUUGAUAAUGUUAGCUACAAUGCUUAGAAUAACUGCAACAAGAGCACAUGAUCCAGAAUUCUAGCUUUAGCCACCAGCGAGUGGCAACCACUAAUGAGUAAACAAUACAGAAAUUGGACAACACGGCUAUUGAAUCACCAACAUCUAGUUCUCCAACUUUGAACUCAUCUAUAAUUUUUUCCAUGAAGAACAAGGGCAUGGCAGCAUGAAGUUCAGGUAGGGGUUCUUCUCAAAUAGAUUCAAUGGUCAUCACUGAUAUGUUUCUUCACAAAAUGGUUAUUCUGAUAAUUAUAGACCGCCAUCUAAUAUUGCACAAAAACAAUAAAUAAUCACCUUUCUUCCAAUUACACGCAAUGCUUCUGAAUUUCUUUUCCGAUUUCGAUGUACUCCAUUACCAGAUUCAUGAUCUAUACCUCAUCAAAAUAGUGAAAUCGGGAAAAAUUCAAAUUGCCUAACGGUGGCAUGGCGUAUAAUGAAACUUAACCAUGCUGAGGUUGCUAUGUCGAUUGCCUGAUAAGAACUUCUGCUAAAUGCAGUAAAAAUUGAGCAAACGACAAUCACAUAGCCGGUUUAAAACUACAUAAACUAAGUUUUUGUUAUUUAACCUUAUUGAUUCUCAUGAAUCACAUGAUUAAUUAAGCACGUGAUUGUCAUGUGCUCAAUUUUAACCUCAUUUCAGCAACAAGUCCUCACAGGCUACCGAAACAGCAAAUUUGGGCUGGUAAAGUAUUACAGUCUUAACCAUGGCUAUUAAAGUGGCAAUACACACAGAGGUAUCAAACAUUUUCCAUUUCAAGGAAUAAAAUUUACAAAGCUAGAAAUAUAAAGUAGAUACAACAAAGAAUAGGAAUUGCAGAAACUUCUCUCAUGGGCUCAUUAGACGCAAGCAUCCAUCAUAGUAAGUUAGGAUAUUCCAGCUAAAAGAUCGAAAGGGCAAACGAAACACUAGAAAUAACACUCCAAUCUUCACAACGAAUCUUUUGGUCCGCCUUAUUCCGCAUUGUUACUGUUCUUUUUUUUCCCAUUCCAAACAAGAAUUCCAUGUAGUCGAAUGUAUUAAUAGGUGAACUUCUCAACCGAUCUUGCAAUGCAAUCACGCCAAAUACUAAAAGGCAUCUUCUUUAGAAACAUAUAGGCAAAAAAAAAAAGGUUCUCAUUUUUUUUUUUUUUCCUUUUUUCUCCUUCUGUUGCCAAAAAGCAAAUCCACUAUCCACCCUAACACUCUACUGCAUAGAAUUUGCUUUAAAAAAACAUAAAAAAUAAAAGAUGACAACAAUAUUAAACAAGGAUUUACUAUCAUUUUCCCUCUAUUGCGUGACAUCUACUUGGAGAUCCAGUGCUCACAAAACGUCACAAUUACCCAAACAAAUUCGUUCUAAAAGAACAAACAAAAAAGGGGGAAUUGAUUCAUAACCUGAAGCAAGGGGAAUCGGGAGGAGGGAUGUGGACCAGAUCGGAGGCCAAGGAGGCGAGAUGAUCGCACGACGAUCGAGCUUCGACCCAUCCCGAUUCGGCACCAUACAGCUCCCCCAACUCUUCCUCCUCCUCCUCCUGAGAUCGAGAUUUUAGGGUUAGGGUUUCAAAACUGGAGGAGAUGAGAAGUGUUAGGGUUUGAUUACGUACGAAUCGAGACGACGACGUGCCCUCGUUCGCCAUUAACGACAACGAACUGACGAAGUGCGCGGAGCUUCUGGGUUCAGAAAUUAAUAAGGAUUUUUAUUAGGGGUUUAAAAGUAAAGUUGAACAGUAAUUGCACAUAUAUACCUUACAGUUUUAAAAUUAUGAAUUUUUUCGUUGGAGUUACAAUUAUCAAAUACAUUCAUCUAAAAUUUUUUUUAAAAUAAUUUAUUAUUUUGAGCAAACUUGUAAAUUCCACCGUGAGAAUCCUUUUAAACGCAAUAUGCAGAGAAUAGGACUCAACGUUUUUUCGACAAAUCUUUUAAGGAAGCUUCUUAUUCUAGAUAAUCUUGUAAAAAGAUGUUAGACUCGCAACACAACUUGUGUGUUGUGUGGAGUUGAAGAGAAAAAUAUGAACCAUCUAUUUUUACGGUGUGUUUUUAUUUGAUUUCUUAUAGUGAUGUCCGUAGAGAAUGCCAAUAGUAGGGAUUUGGAUGGCGACGUGGUUUCUGUUUGGAAUAGGUGGAUGGUCGGGAAUGGACAACGACCACCUCAUGAUAGUUUGGCUGGUUUAAUAACUUGCUGCUCAGUUAUUUGGCAGGUUAGGAACGAUACGAUCUUUCGCAACAUCCGAUCAAACCCCAUGUUGUUAAUCUCCAAGAUGAAACUGUUGACGAACUCUUGGGAACAAGUCUUCUCUCGGUUAGCCGAGUCUAGUUUUUUAUUUUUGUUGUCAUGUGACUCAUGUCAUGUCGUGUUGUGUCGUAUCUCAUUGGAGGCCAAGAAUAUUUUACCGAUAUAGUUUAAUUCAUAUAUCCAAUGAUCUAAAAGCAAAAAAAAAAAUUUAUCUGACUAAUUAAUACUAGUCAAUUUAUUGCUAAUAUUUAAUAUUUAAUUAUUUAUUUUUAAAAUAUAAUUUUUCAAAUUAUUUUUUAAAAAAAGAUUAACAUUUACUGUUAGAAUAGAGACAAUGAUAAUAAAAAAAAUUAUUAAAAAAUACCUACUGAAAUCCAACUUAACUGAACAGAAAAAAAAUUAUAUAUAUUAUUCAAUUUUCUGCAAAAGUUUCAAAAUAUAUUUAAUAAUUAAAACUUUUGGGGAGUCUCUCUGUAAUUUUGAUAGUUUAGUGAUAUGCGCGCAAUUUACUUCUCAAAAGAGUAAAAACCGGAUCCGAUAUAAAACGGAUCCGUAACGAUGACCCACUCGUCGUUUGGAUCGGGUUAACUCCAAAUUAGGGUUUUUUUUGCUUCGCAUAUAAAUGCGAACCGAACCCUUCCCUCCGCCGCACUUUCCUCAUCCCCGAGAGUUCGAUUCUAGGGUUUUCUCUACGAUCCAGAGCGAGAAUUUAGUGAAAGAUGGGGCACUCUAAUGUAUGGAACUCCCACCCUAAGAACUAUGGCCCAGGAUCUCGAGUUUGGUAAGUGAAUCCUCGUCCCCAAUCUUCUUUUCUAUCGAUUCAUCGCCUAAUUAAUGUUCUUUUUUUCCCUGGAUCUCGAGUUUGGUAAGUGAAUCCUCGUCCCCAAUCUUCUUUUCUAUCGAUUCAUCGCCUAAUUAAUGUUCUUUUUUCUUUUCUUUUUUUUUUUUUUUCCUUUGGUGAUUCUAUAUGAUUUUAGAGUUAGGAAUCAUUGGAAACGCGGUGAAGUUGCGAACUUGGAGAUUUGUUAGGGCUUUGGGGUUGUUUGUGUGCUAUAUAGUUUAUGCCUUUGAAAUGUUUUAUAUUUUGUCUCUCGUGAUGUUAUAUUUAGAUAGAGCCAUAGGUGAUUAAGAACUUGCUUAAAAAAACCCCUUUUUUGGGAUUUUUUUGGUUCCGAUAUCGGGUUCUCCUGCACCUGAUAAUGUUUCCUUAAAUGAGAUAUCUCUUAUUGCAAAGUUUUUUUUUUAAAAAAAACCUUUUGAAAAAAAUCAUCUGGUUCUUUGUUGGAGUUUUUUUUAAAUAUGGAAUCUAAAGUCAUUAAAAAUCUUGUAAAAGGAAAAAGUGAAUUUGAUCAACUGGGAUUUUAUUUAAUAAGGUUUUAGUAUUGAGAAGCUAGCUGAACUAUACAUUUUUUCAGUUGAAUUGUUUGGUUUAGUCUUUUGAUUGUUAGAGUCUGCUUGGAUGCGUGAAUAUCUUGUUUGGCGUAUAUCUUUUGUGUACUCGAGGGUCGUAUGGUAAUAAAGUUGAUUUGGAGUGCAAAUACCUAUAUCUGCAAUUGCAUAGUAUAUAGUGCACUCUUUGAAACCAAUAGAAAGAGGGAAGGAAAAAAGAGAAAAGAAAAGGAGUAAAAGAAACUGAAUUUCUCUUCAGUUGUUUGGAUGCACAUAAAGAAAGAGAUGAUCUUUCUAUAAUUUGUUUUCUCUCUCACAAAGUUAACAGGAAACAUGCAAAAACAUUUCUUUCCUACUUGUCUUUCUCUCCUUUUCUCUCCUUCAAAGAGGGAGCUAGCGAAGGAGGUGAAUUUUGCAUCAAUGACUAUUUUUAACUUUUUCUCUCGUUGAUCUUGCGCCUUUUUUUUUCCUUUUUUUUUUUUUCUAUUCUGCAUGCAGCCGGGUUUGUGGGAACCCCCACGGAAUGAUUCGGAAGUAUGGGCUUAUGUGUUGCAGGCAGUGCUUCCGUAGCCAUGCCAAGGAUAUUGGCUUUAUUAAGGUAAAUAUCUAAUGAACCUUUUUUAUUCUGCUUAUGUGUGGAGGUUACUUCUUUUUUACUGUGUGGAUUAUACGUGGUGGAUAUGAAUCUUUAGCAAGAUCGAGUGCCCUCCGACAGUUGGUAUGAUGUUUUGAACUUGUUAAAUUGUCUGCUGUUAUAAAUGGCCAGAAACCUUGAUAUUUUUGAACCUGACUAAAUCUGAAACUGAACUGUAUCAUCUGGAGUGGUUUUUUAUCAGCUUUUUUAACUAUAUUGGAUUCAAUUUACGCCAAUGAUGUUUAUGGCUUAGCAACCCUGCAAGUUUGUAUGACUACUUGUAGAUGAAUGAUUUUCAGGCAACAAGAUUCUUUUUCACACUGAUUUAUCCAUUUUUCGUGCCGUAAUAGUUAACAUAUGUGGUGUCUAUUAGAGUAAAAGGAGAGUAGCUAGUGCGAAACCGCAGUAUUGUCCCAGUGCAUCGGGUCUGCCCCCAAUCUGGGUUUUGUGGAAUCUCAGAUGCGCAAAAUUUGCUCUUGAACUUCCAUUUUGUUCCUUAGUUAUAAUUGGACCAAAUGAUGAACUACUAACUGAUCAUGUUUUGUAUCUCAAUGGUCACGUGCACCAUUUCAAAAUUUAAUAUAUGCUGUAGCUAUCUCACUGGUGAUAUUAUAGAACAAAGAUAUAAAUGUUACCCUUGAUAAGUAUUGUGGCCUGGGCCAAUUAAUCCUUUUGGAAAUUUUAGAUCAGUGCAAGUAGUAAUCCUGCUGCUUUCAAUCCUAUAUUACUUUUCCACUAUUUUUCUGUCCUUUGCCUUGAAAUUUCCUUUUUAGCAGAGGUAAUGUGAGCAAGAACUGAACUUUUAUGGCUUUUUCUUUUUUAUAGUACCGCUGAGCAUAGUUCGCGGUGAUUACCAUCAACUGGACAUGUGGUUUAAUGGGAAAUCAAGAGUGGAUUCGUCAUCUUUCGGAAGAUUGUCUACAAUAUUUAGCAAUGCCAUGUUAGUUUUCAUUGACGUUUUAUAUUUAAUUAUGUAAUGGAUCAAGUACCUGUAAGAUGUGGUUGCAGAAUCUAAUUUCUUCGUGGUUUAGUGUCAAUUGUGUCAUGGAUGAAAGUUUCACAUGUGCACCUUUCUUUUUCCUAGUGCUACUGCUGCCCGUUCCUUCAUCCUUGAUUUGUUUCGCCAAUACUUUUUAUUUGAUUGUUGUUUAGGUAGUGCGGUCCAAUCGUAUUUAGAUAUCCUGUGUUGGAUUUCAUCAUAUUAAUCUUAGUAACACCAAUAAGUGAUGUUGUUUUAUACAUCAACAUGCCAUUUUGGUGGGCCGCUAUGAACCACACACUGCCCCCCUACUUAGUUGUUUUAUACAUCAACAUGCCAUUUUGGGCUGCUAUGACACCCCCUGGCGAGUCGUAUUUUGCUUGCUUUGAUAUUAAUCACUUCUACUUCUCAUGGUGGUACUAUAUCAUUAUUUCUUAAAUUCUGUUUCUGCUGUUGAUUCAAGUGUUCACGAAUUUUCGAUGCAGCCUCAGUCUUAGUUGUUAUUGCAAACAGAUUUUCAAAACAAAUGCUUGACGUUAGAUUUCAUUGCUGGAGGUGUUGGAAUUCAAAUCAGUCAGUAAUAUAAGGAAAGCUUCAGAUAUGUGAAACAAAGCUAUUAUUUUGCUUUCUUUUCUUAUCUGAAUUAUACAUGAUUGUUAUACGCGAGAGACAGAUACGGAGAAAAGAAAAGAGGAGUUUGAUUGAAGAAAAAAGAAAAGAGAAAGGGAAAAAAGGGAAAGGGAAAGAAACUGUUGAAAUGAGACCAUUUUUUCUAUGGUUUAUUAUUAAGUAAAACUAGGGAGAUUGGAGGACCAAUAAGCGUAAAUGUUGCUGAUGAAUCAAUUUUUAUAUGUUGCUUUUAAUAAUAGGUUUAGCUUUUUAAACUUAAACCAUGAAGCUUGGUAAAACACUAAUUUUGAAAAGCUGAACUGUUCACUAGAUAGUAGAUAUUCCAGGAUAGAGUCUGAUGCAGAUGAAUCAUUGCUUAUCUUGUAAACCUCUAUUUUUUUUUUUUUUUUUUUUUUUUUGUUCUCUUUUCUCUCCUUUGAUUGCUAAACUAUAGUGUGAUUCCCUUUUCUAUGUAUCUAUCCAUCUCUGUUAUUCUCACAUUUUAAUUAACAAAUCAAAUGUACAAAUCUGUCAAUUUGUCAUUCAUCAACAGGUGAUGUUCUGAUUCUCGAAUCUUCUUUCUUUAGCAACACAUCUUGGAUGUAGAUGCUUAAAAAGAUGCUCAAUUAAACGGAUAAAAUAUCGGCAAAAGUCACAAAUUUGACCCAAAAAGAGAGAGGAACUAGUCAAGUGCGUGUUAUUGCUCGUGUGUGGUGUCACUAAAAAGAAAAGGCUAAUGUGAUUAUAGUUUCCGGAUCGCAGAAACCCCCUCCGACCUGUGAUCGGGAUCGCACAUACCAAUUUGUGUUGGGUUCUCGAUUCAGAAUACAAAAAAAUGGCGAAUUGGAAUCAUAGAGAAGCACCUCAAUUUUCUAAAUCUAAAUCAUAUUUCAGAAUAACGUUCCGACUAUUCCAUUCCAAGCAACAUUAAAUGUGAUUAUCUGGAAGGAGACUUGAAACCUACUAAAGAAACACCUAUCAACAACCUCCCUGAGUUAACCUCAUCAUAACAUGUUUUCUUUUCUCUUAAGCUAAUCUCAACAUUGGUGUUGUCGACUCUUUUCCUUCCUUUUCUUUUUACGAUUCUUUUAUAGUAAAUUGCACUACAAGCCCCUUAAACUUUUGCUUUUCGGUUUUUGAUUUUGAAAUCAUGAGCUUUUAAUAUUUUAGUGCUGAACUUUUUAAAAUUAUUUCUUCUUAGUCCGCACAUUAGAAUAAAAACUAUUUUCUGCACGUAGUUCAUCUGACACGGUGGACACCGGAAUUGUCGAUAAAUGUAUAAGUGUAGAUAAUAAUUUAUCGAGUAAGUAACGGUAAACACACAAAAGGACUAAAACAAAACUCUCAUUAGAAGAGUGAGCUAGGGCCUCAAACUUUUGAGCAUAAACUUAGCAGAAAGAAGUUCAGGGACUUAGCAGUACAAUCCAACCCAUUUUUGGUAGAUUGCUGUCCUGCUGAAUGAAGAAGUCAGAAGCACUUUGAGAUGCCACAGCUUUCCUACCAUCCCUUCUGCACACUCUCAUUUCACUAUCAACUAGGGAAGAGUGGAGUGGGGUUUGUAGCCCAUAUCAUAUCUUAUCUUUGUCCAUUGAUUCCUCUUUCCCAUAAUAGUGAAUGGAGUGUGCAGCAAAAAGGGGGUGCUUUCAUAAACAGAGCCCAGGCAAAAUCAUGCUCCUUAAGCUAACACCCACUUUUGAGUGCUGGGCCAUGUAAGGUACUUAGCUAGCAAACCUUCUCAGUGGGACAUGACAUAAUUAGGAUUGAAUAGUAAGUCUCAAGUGAGAAAUUUUCUUUUUCUUUUUAAAGGAUGCAUUUGGAUUCACAAAUCUCUCGAUCCAACGUAACUCAAGUACAGUGAUGUUUGAGUUUUUCUGAAGUGUGAUUAUUUUUUUACUGUUUGGUUUGAUGUGACUUGCACAACCUGAAAGUUGAAUUCAAUCACUUUUUCUGUUUGUUUUGCUGUAACUUGAUACUGGUGAAAUUAGUUUUUUGAGUUUUAUUAUUUAUUUUGAUAUAAGUAAGUGGAUCCUAUUACCUCCUAAGUAUAAUGGUAAACUUAUCCAUAUAAAAUCAAACCUAUUAAAUAAUUAAAUUUCUCAUUAUUGUUUAAAAGUAAUCUUAAAUCCAUUGCAAAGAAAAGUAACUCUAACCCAUUCUAAAGAAAGUAGAGUUUAAGUUUUAAUAUUUAAUAAUUUUUUUAGAGAAAGAUGAGUAUGGUGGAACUUGAGUUCGAUACUUUAGAGGGAGAACUUAAGAGUAGAUAAAGUAGAGGUUGUAGCUUGCGUUAUAUUAUAUUUUUCAACUUACAAUAAAACAAAUAUUAGAAAUGAUGGAACUUGAAUUGCACCCCUUCACUUACACCAAAACAAACAGCUCCUUACCGCUUGGAUUGGGGAUAAGGGGUGGAAUAACCCCUUAUUCCCUCUUUAUACCCAAAUGCUAAUUUUUUAUCCGAAAAUAAUAGUCUCGGGUACCUGAAAUAAACUGGUAUAACUAUUCUCACCAACACCUUCAUUUUCUAUAUAUAACUACUCACUAUUUUUCUUAUUCCAUAUUAUCUAUCCAAACGUUAUUUUUCUUAUUUCCGGAAACAAUCCCAAUUUUCAUCCAAACGCUAUUUUUCUUAUCCCCAUAUUUAUACCUAUCCCUGUAAUAGCUACUUCUUGCAGGAAGAGAGGACCAGCCAUAGAAAAAAUUAGAAGCCAAUACGAUUUAAUGAUUUUCUACUUUCCUGGUUGAUCUUCUUGUUUCUUACAGAUUAAAAGAGGAAAGCAUAAUUUCUAUGACACUUAACAAAAUAUAGUGGGAGAAUAAAUAAAAAAUUCCUAGGUAUAUAUGAUCAAAAUGACAAGUUGGAUUUUCUUUUUCACAUGAAAAAAAAAAGAAAAAAAAAAACCUGCAGCUAUUAUUUGUUGUCCAUAAUUGCUUGCAUGCCUGCCGUGUUCUGAGAAAACUUGUUGUCCAUUAAUUCUCAGAAGCCAUUCAGUGGAAUUAAUUAUAUUUUUUUGUCUGUUGCAGGAAUAUGUUCAAAGUUUCCAUAAAAAAUAUGACCAAAGUGCUUAGUUUCUAUGCAUGUAACUAAAAUACAAAUGUUGAUGCAAUCCAAAUACUAUGAUGAGACCUAGAGAUCUUAAUCUUUCCUUUGGAUUCAUUCAAUUCUGUGAGCUCAACUUCAAUAGAAGUUUUUUGGAUGAUAACUAUAAUGAGUUCUUUAAUUAUAAUUAUAUCCCUAAAAUGCUUGUGAGUGAGGAUUCCAAUGGCAUGCUUUAAAUGCAUGCAUGCUUUGGAUUUUACUGAUUAAUGCUAUACCCAUUUCCAUUGUUUGUAUCACUUUUGUAAUUGUUAUUAGAGAAUUAACAAAAAAAAUGUCACAUCAGUGUAUGUGAAAUGUUAUUAAAAAGAUUGCAUAUGAGCAAAGCAUUUUUCUAUACGUCUAAAUCUGACGCGAGAAAUAAAUGAUAUACUCGUAUUCUUGUAUAGUAUUCUCCUCUAGAUUUCGAAGAAUAGUUUGCUUUUGAGCGCUAGAUUUACUCUACUCAGAAGCUCUAGAUUCAUCAUUUGCGACACUGAACUUUACGAAACUAGGCCAAACAAGCACUUAAUAAGUCGAACGCACACACAUGCGUGACGUUUCGCUUUGCACCAGUAAAGGAAAGGUUCGAAAGAAUAAAAGUAGAUGCGUUGUGCCUAUCUAUAAGAGGUUUCGACUUCGACCCCACAUACAAAAGAAAAAAAGAAAAAUGUAGAAAAGAGAGGAAGAGGAGCAGAACCUCCUUGGAAGCAAAGGGUAAGAGCUUAGCGUGCAAAUAAAAACAGUUUUUUUUCACGCUAAAGCUGAUUAUUUUUUGCACAUUUUUUAUUUUUGCUGAUCGCAGUUAUUCGCGAAUGAAGCAUUAAAUGCAGAUGAUUACGCGCGAAGAACAAGUGUUAAUCGUUAGCUUCGUCGAAAGCUAAGGUACUCGACUAUAAAACUGUAUCUUUUCAUUGUUAAUGCCUAUUCUUAAGUUCAUGCUCUUAUUACUCAUUUUCACUUUGUUUUCUAAACAUGCAACUUAAUUACAUUCUAGUUGAUUAAAUUUGUGAGAUGAAUUAAUGCGCAGUAAUUGAAUAUUUUGUUAUCCAAAUUAAGCGAACUAUUCGUUUACCAAUGUUUUUUUUUUCGAUUUUUUCGCUUUCUAUUCUACAUAAACAAGCAAGAUAUAUAUUCUACUGUUUUGCGGUGCUUUAAUUAGAGAGAUAAUCCAAAAAAUUAACUAAUAAGCAGGAAUUAAUAAGUUUUGUUUAUGCUCCAUCAUCCAUGGUAGUUAUAAUAAUAAGUUUUGAUUUUGAUAAAAAUUUCUUUUCAAAAGUGAUUAGGAAACAAAUAGGUUACAGUUAAUUUAAUUUGGACCAAAUGGAAUAAAGCUUAAUAAUUGCUUCGCACUUUAUUAAUUCAAUUUAUCUUAUACUGUUAAUUAUCUAGGCCAUUAGUUGUAAAAUGUAACAAUAUGUUUCCUUUUUUUUUUUUUUUUUUGAAGUUUUCCCAAAUUUUAAAGCAUAAUGUUUAAAUUGAUACGUAAUCAUUAUAAAAUACCAAGUAAUGAGAAAUUUGUAGUUAAAUAUGUAUAUAUUUAUAUUCUAUUUCAUUAUUAUCAUAUUUUGUGGGGCUAUUGAAUUAGAUCAAAUUGGCUUUUCAGAGAGUACAUAAAACUAGUAGCUAGGUAUUGCCUCCUUGUUACGUUUACUGUCCCUAUCCAACCAAAUUUAUAUUCGCAAACGCUAACUCGGUCCACGAAUCAAUUCCCAUUUCUUGGAUUUCAUUUUUGGGCUAAUCAAAUUCAAAUCUACUUAAACUAUGCUUCAUCUGUUGAAAAUAAAUAUUUGAAAAAUCGAUAGUUUUUUUUUUUUUUGCUACCUGUUUUGUUUUGUUUUUUUUUAAAAUAAACUUAGUUAGAAAUGUAAAUCAAAUAGACUUCGGCUUUUUUGGAAUUGCGGGGAGAUUGCGUUACGUGCAGUGAGGAAGUGCGAUGAAAAAAUAUUCUAUUUGUUUCCGUACGUAUGUUUCGCAUAUCGCGAUUAAUCGGUAUUAACUAUCAAGUCCUUUGUUAUAUGCACUAAAAAACGGUUGAUUUUUUGAGAAUAAUAAUUAUUUUACAUAAUUUAAUAAGAAUCACAACAAGAUAUACUGAGUUCGUAUCUUAAUUACCAUACUUUUUAGUCUUAUUUAACUAUCCAGCUCUUUUAGCUGCCGCUGAACGCUGAAACCCUAAUUUGAUCCAUGUCGAACUUGAUAAAAAUCGAGUCGGAUUAGCCUGAUCGAGUUUCGUAUUAGAUUUAAUCCACCCUUAAUUACAUUCUGUCGAACAAGCCACCUAAUUUAUGAAUUGAUUACUGGACCUGACUUUAAGUCGACUCAUCGACAUCAAUCGAGCCAAUCGGAUCAAUUUGGGGUCGAAUUAAGUGGAUUAGGCUCGAAUUUGUUCCACUUCAGAGUUUGCGCCUAUUGCAUGUUAGUUUGCUUGUGUUCGGGUCGUUUAAUUAAUUCAACCCAGAAUUGUUCCACUUCAGUUCUAAACGAUCCGAACACGGGCUAGAUACGAGAUUAAGCUUGAAAAUAAACUUGAGCUGCUCAUGAGUGGCUCCUACUAGUUCGUCGUAGGAAAGAGGUUUCACGACAUUUAUUUAUAUGAUCAUACUUCUUAAUCUCAUGAGAAUAUUUUUGUACUGAAUAAGUUCUUAAUAGAAAUCUUAUUCUGACGUAUUGUGCUAAAUGAACCAAUCGAUUAAAACUAAACAAAUCCUAUAGUUUCAUUAGAGAACGUCCCACUCUUGCAGCAGUCGGACUUGCAUUCUGUGCGAUACGGUGUGCAGAAAAGUUUCGUGCAUACCUAUCCAUCAGUACUGAGAUGCAUCUAAGCUGGCAAUAUCGGAUAGCUCGAAUAUAUUCUGCCGCUGACUAUAAUAAAGUUAUUAAAUUAGGUUGAUUGUUUCUGCACAGAUCCAAAAAUAUUUAAAAAGAAAAAUUGGGUUUUAGCUAGCUAGGUGGUCCUGUUAAUUCGGCCUAGCCGUGUAAUGCAUGCAUGUGCAAUUGAUCUAAUGGGUCCCCUUAGAAUGGAGUUGCUCUCUACAGGGCUUGGUGCUUAGGGCCCCUUCGGUAUCGAGAUCCAUCUACUGUUAAUAGAUAAAAUUAAUUAAGUUGGGACGAAGCAGAUAGAGAAAUGCUUUUGCGUUUUUUUAUAGAAACUACAGAAAAUAUAUUAUAAUCGACUUACUAUUAUAUACGAAAAUAAAUAUGAUAUUUUUUUUUAUAACGCAAUUUUUCUACAGUCCUAAACAGAGCCUUAAGCUCUUGUUACGUUAGUAAACUUUUCCUUUUCAUAGGAUUUGUUUAUAUGCAAGAGAAUUGUGGUCCUAAAUUAAUUAGGUUUUAAAUAGGUGGUUCAAUUUGAUUAAUGACGUAUUAACCGCCGCAUAUAUGUGUCGUGCCGCCUUUUCUUUUCCUAAUUUGGAAAUGGGGUUUGAUGCAAUUUUAGGAUACUUAAAAAAAUAUUAAGCACUUCAAUAUUUUCCUUUUUGACACUAUAAAAUGGUUGUAUACAUGACCUGAAUGUUAGAAAUAUACUGUACUGAAAAUUCGAUCGUGAUUAAAAUCUAAUUAAUUUUGUGAUAAAGAUAAAGACGAAUGUAUAGAUAAACGCAAUUAUCCAAAUAAAAACGUGACCUUAACGGGAAGCAAAUUAGAUUGUAUUGGAAUAAAAUGAAAUGACGAAUCAUCCAAAGAUUUUUAUUUUGUUAUUAGUAUGAAAACUGGAAUGGACAGUUACGAUUUUGAGAGAGGGUUUUGGUUGAGAGAGGAGAGUGAUGAAGAGAGAGAAGAGAGAGGCGUUUGUGAGAUAGGAUUUUGAGUUGUUUACUUUAGAAUGAGCCCGUCGAAGAUUCAAAGCAAGAUUGGAUCAUCCCAUUCCAAUCCCAUUCCAGGGUGAAAUAAGAAUUAGAAUUUGAUUCCUUUAAAACAAAUAACAACUAUUAUAAUUAAUGAAUCCAAGAACUCAUGGCUCAGUUUGAACCUCUGAACUUUAGGAUAGUCCUAUGGAUAACAACCAACUGCAUUGAGUAAGGAUGAGAGAGAGAGAGAUAGUGGUUUGAUAGUUAAGUUCCUUCUAUUUAUGAAAAGUAAGGAUUUUUAUUAUGGUAGCGCAAACAAGUGUUUAGGCAUCCAAUGUUACUUUUUUUUUGAGAAAAAUAGCAUAUUACAGCUUCAUUUAAUUAGAAAAUAAACUGAACUAUAGAUUAAGGCAACCUGGGCCUCGAAAAAAAAGGAAAAAGAAAAAAGGACAAAGGAAAAGAAGAUUACAUGCAAAAACGUUCCCAUGAAUCAAACCAAGAAUAAUUAAGAUAAAUCUGAUUAAAGUAGAAGAAGACAUUUCUCACUAGUUUACUGUUUUGUUGUUGUUGCUGUUGUUGUUGUUGUUGUUGUUAACUUGUUAUGCAUCAUCUUCUUUAAUGCUUAAUGUGCCUACUCUACCUUUUCGACUUGUCAUUUAUCAUCUAACUAAUUACUUGCACUUAAUUUUAAGUCCAAUUGAAACAGGAAUUUGGUUGGUCUUUCUAAAUUUCUUACUUACUAUUAAUUGGGGCCUUUUUAAAGGAUCUCUUGGUAUCCUAUUAAGUUAAUUUUCUUUAGAUAUUUGGAACCAAUUUGUGUUAAAAAUAGAUGAAAUGAAGCAUGCGUAGAACCUAAGAAAAGAACACAAUAAAUCAAAGGGACAAAGAUAUAUAUCUAGGUAGGUAUAUAUCCCUAGUAGAAUGUUCCCUUGUACGUUCCCUUCUUAUUAAGGUUACAGCAUGAAAGUGCAUUCCCAACUAAUUAUAUAAUAAAUCAUUAUUGUUCAUGUAAUGCUUCUUCUAGUCUAGGAUAUUAAUUACUACCUAUAGUACGUGUGUGUGGCUCUUAGCUAGGGAGAAAUUAUUACUAGAUGUGUGCAACUACAUUAUCAUGAAUCACACCAACUAAAUUAAAUGCAAUAUAUAUACCUCUCAAAUUGUACGCAUACGUAGAAUUAGAAAGUUUUUUAUUUAUUGACUAGAUCAAUGUGGAACCUGUGUUCAGUCUAGUUUAUGCAUAUCAAUCUCGUAAAUCAUAUGGAUGUUAUGAUUUUAUGUGCACAUAACUGUGCGUGGACAUGGCAAAAUUUUUUAGGAUCUAUAUAUUUUUCUCUCUAUUUUUUUGCUUGAUCUAUGCAACGAUCAAAAAAACUUAUUUUUCUAGUCUAAUUCUAUGAAAUAACUGAUUAUUUUGAAAGUUUAAACUAUUGAAGAAUAAUACUUCUAAUAUUUUAUACUUAAUAUUAAUUCUCCUUCACAUCAGGGUUAAUCGCGAUUUGAGAUUUUCUUUGUAAUAGGCCCAAGAAGCAGAUUUAAAAAAUGAGUGAAAGUAUACAGGAUUAAAGAGUUCUACAAUAUUCAAAUUUAAAAUUUUUUUAUUCUGAUAUGAGGUGAAAAAAUGUUAAAUUAUGCGAAACAAUUGUUGCUUUCCAAAAGUUUAAACUAUUGGAGACGUUUUUAAUGUCUAUAUUCAACACUUACAUCUACGCUUAAAACUUCUUGAUGCUUUAAGAGGUAGACUUGAAUUAAAUGGAAAUACCAUAUCAAAUUAUAGGAUCAAGAAGUGGCUUGAACUAAAAUGGGAAUGUCAUGUCAAAUUAUAUGGUAUAAUUAUUGUUCUUUAAAAGCUUAAACUAGUAGAGAACAGUAUUUUUAAUGUUAUAUUUAACACUUUUAUUCUUGUCGUGACUCAAGACAUUUUAAUAAACUCAAGACAUGAACUUAAAUUAAACGGGAGGAAAAUAAAUAAUGCUAAGAACUUGGUAAGAUUCGAAGUGUUUUUAAUAUUUAUAUUUAACUCUUUCACUCGUGGCCGGACUUGAGACAUUUUGAUAGGCCUAUGACAUGAACUUUAAUUAAAUUGAAGAAAAUUAAAUAAUGUUAAGAACCUAGCAAGAUUUGAAGUGUUUUUAAUAUUUAUAUUUAACAUUCUCCCUCACAUCUGAACUCGAAAUAUUUUAAUAAACCCAAGACAAUGACUUGAAUUAAAUGAGAGGAAAAUAAAUAGAGGACUUGAACUAAUGAGAGGAAAAUAAAUAAUGCUAAGAACCUUGCAAGAUUCUAACUUAUGACGUUUAGCUCUGAUAAUAUGUUAAAUUAUAUAAAAGACCAUUUUUCUCCGAAAGCUUAUACUGCCAAAAAAUGAUAUUUUUAAUAUCUAUAUUUAUGCACAACAAUUGUUAUUUUUCAAAAUAUUAAGCUAUUAGAGAAUAAUAUUUUAAUAUUUAUAUCUAACACUCUUCCUAAAUGUUGACUUGAAUUAAAUGAAAAAAAAAAUUAUGUUAGGGGCUUGGCGGGACGCAAAGUCAAAAUCUCCUCUGAAAGAAUAAGUUGUCAGAGAACAUUAUUUUUAAUAAUUAUAUUUAACAAAAGAUCUAUUACUUUAAAAUCUUAAGUUACUAGAGAAUGAUAUUUUUAAUAUUUAAUAUCCAACAAGUCAGUUUUACCAUGCCUUAAAAAAAUGAUGAUGAUUUUCCUCCUGAAGCCAAUUGUGUAUGUUAAUCCUAGUCUCAAUCAACAAACUCCAACUAUAUAUAUAUAAUGCAUCACUUUAACCUACCCCUUAGUUAAAAUGCCACUAUCACAAUUAAUUGAGCUCCUAUAUUAAUGAUCAUUCUUAUUUAUGAAAUGAUUUUGAUGAAAAUCUACUUAACUUCCUGAAGAAAUUUCAAGCAACAUUAAGUGGGUGAAUUAAGAUGGUAAUUAAGCAACCUAUAUUGAAAUUGAAAUGCAGUUAAUCUCCUCUCUCUUUAUUCUCUUUUGCUAGCUUAGAAAGGAAGCAACAAAACUACUUGAAAAUAUUUAAUUAGGUGGCUUAAUUUGUGUGAUUAAGAUUUGUGAACAAAAACUCUAUUUGCAGAUCACUUGAGCAUGCAGAGUACUGAGGUAUCAACCACAAAGAGAGGAAAUUAUGGGAAAUAAAUUAAAUGCAAAUACUUAUUAACUUUAAUGCUCACAUAAAUUAGUUUCUUCAAUAAGAGAAAUGUUAUCUAUGAUUGAAUCCUUAACCUGGACCAUUAAUUAAUUUCAUGCACGUACUAUCUCUCACUUAAAUUUCUCUACCAGACACUUUGACUUAAAUGCUUCAUAUGUACAUGAGAAAAUGACCAAAGAAAUGGAGCAAAUUUGCAUGAUAGUAACAAAAAAUAAAAAGAAGAAUAAAAUGGUGCAAAAUUAAUUGUUCUUCACAAGAAUUGAAAUAAAACAACAAAAAUAUGUAUGCUAUAAAAUAGAAGAUAUACAUAAAUAGACGAAAAUGUAUGAACAAAUUCAAAUAUUGAACUUGAAACCUCUCAAAGUGGAAAACGCUUAUGACCGUCUCUGAUACCAUACUAUCAAAAAAUCAAUAUAGUAAACAACAAUUCAGGAUUAAUUAGUUUGUAGUUUCCAAAAAGAAAAAUGAAAAAGGAUAUGACAAACAAAAUAGAAAAACAAUUUAAUUCAAGGAUCCAACUCUUACUGUUAUAUAUAGAAAUUAAAAAGCUAUUGAAGAUAUUUAAUUUUUUUGGAAAAAAACUGUUAAUGCCUCAACUUAAUGGAUUUGUAACUAUCCAAGACUAUAUAUAGGGCAAUAGAAAAAUUAAAUUGGCCCACUUAAGUGCAUUUUCACUUAGAUCUCUUGUCCUAAAUUCGAUUAAUUAUAUAAUAACUUGAACUUAAUUAACUAAGCAAUGGAUUAAUAAAUUAAACUCUUCAAUAUCGUGUUUUCUAAGGAUUGGAGUGUAGAUCACCUUCUAGCAAAGCUUACCCCCAUCAACUUAACUCAAGGUGGUGGCAUAAUUGCAUAAAUGGACCACGGUUAUACGUGACAUUAUUAAUAGAAAGAGACAACAGUGAUAUGUGAAUUAUUAACGGAAAUAAUUAAUUUUGAUGUUAAUAUAUGAAUUUCUUGAAUCCAGUCGCUGUUUAUUUAACAAAUUUCAUGUAUUAAUGUCAAUGAGUCACUCUUAUUGCUUAGAGAGGUCAAAAUCUUGUAUUGUAGCGGUAGGUCAGGUUAGGUCAAAUUGUGUUUAAAAUAAUAUUGAGUUACGAUCGAGAUCAGUAGGUGUUAUUCUUGUACACUUUUAAUGAAUUAAUUAUAUAAUUCUAAUAGCUCGACGUUUUAGAAUUAACCCUAUAAAUAAUAUCAUUUUUGUUAUAAAAUUGUUUAUUUUAUUUUUUCUUUUUAAACAAGAAGUUGGUUCGGUAUCUCUAGUACAAAAAUAAGGCAUUUAUCAGUAAACUGAUAAUAUAUUAUACUAUUUGACCAUAAUCUAAGAAUAGGAGUAAAACUGAUUUCACCAUAAUCUAAGAAUAGGAGUAAGAUUAGCUUUGGUUCUUUAUCUAAGACUUAAUUUGGCAGUCCCUCCACGUUGUUUUCUCCAUGUCCUUUUAUUAAUUAAUUAAUUAAUAUUAUAUUACUGUUUCCUCAAAUUUGUAUAUUAAAUUUUUUCUAAAAAUCAUUUUCUCCUCAACUUUGUACUGUUUCUCUCUCUCUCUCGCUCUCUCUUCCCUCUCCAGCAACGGUAUUAUGAGUAGCCGUCUCCCUAGACCGGUUGUACGCACGUCAUCAUCCGGUUUUUAUGCUGCGCCGGACGACGUGUCGCGGAUUGAUUAGUCGGGUCUACUGGACCAGGUACGAGAAUUACAUUGACCGGCCUCUAACAUGGCCUAUUCCUUCGCCAUCACCCUUCUCUUUGUUAACACAUAAAUCCCAAAAUAUAGUAAUAAGUGUUUGUAGACCAAAUCCCAAUUCCGAAUCUCUCCUCCUGUGUAUGUAAAGUAAAACACACUCGCUAGUCGCUCACUCACGCGCCCCAAAAACCAAUAUCGUAUUUUAGCAAAUUAACUCGUCUAGAUACUACAAAAAUAUCCCACUAAUUCAACCCAAAAAUAAGGGAACAACACUCUCUAAACAUAAACAUAUUAUACACUCUCUCUAUCUCCUCACUCCUCAAGUUUCUCUACUUCCUCAAACAACAGCAGUAGUAGAAGAAGCGACCCUAAGCGAAGGGAGAAAGAGGAAGCGCUUCCGGUGAGAUUACCGCCCCCAUCUUUUGAAACGUAUUUGGGAACGAGAAGACGAUAAUAUAGCUCGAGCUCGAGAUCGAGAUCUCGCCACCGACAAUGGUGGCCGCCGCCGCCGGGGUGAAUCCGCAGCGCCCACCGCUGAUCCCGUCGGAGAAGGACAAUGCCGGCGCCGCCGCGCUCCCAAACGCGCGGCGCCGCAGCGCUAAGGAGGUCACCUCCCGCUACCUCUCCUCCUCCUCCUCCUCGUCCUCUUUGACCUCCACCUCCACCUCCACCUCGACCUCGUACUCUUCUUCUUCUUCUUCGACCUUUACCACCACCUCGACCUCGCGGCGCUUCCCCUCCCCGCUCGCCGCCGCGCGGCCCUCGACCCCCUCGCCCGGAGCCUCGACUGCUCCCUCGACCGGAAAGACUCCAUCUUGGCCACCGUCCACCUGCUGCAGCGCUCCAUGGUGCUCGACGACCCCACCCGGCGCGCCUCCUUCGACGCCGCCGAGCUCUCCGCUUCCUCCGAUACGGAGAGCGUCUCCUCCGGGAGCAAUUCGGACCUCGCCACACCCGCUCGAUCGAAAGCCCCGCCCCGGGGGAUCAUCGUCCCCGCGCGGUUCUGGCAGGAGACGAACAGCCGCCUCCGCCGCUUGCCCGAGCCCGGAACGCCUCUGCCCACGAAACCAGGGCUUGCUUCGCCGCCCGGUAACCGCAUGCCUUCUCCGGCGAGAGGGAUGACCAGCCCUUUGAGGGCGCGGGGCGGCUCCGUUCCAGUUAUUCAGCUGGCGAAUGCGCCUUCUAUAAUAAGCUUCGCGGUGGAAGUGAGGAGGGCGAAGAGAGGGGAGAACCGGAUAGAGGAGGCGCACGCGUUGCGGCUACUGGAUAAUCGGCAUUUGCAGUGGCGGUACGCGAACGCGAGGGCCGAUGCCGUGCUUCUGGCGCAGAGAUUGGCCACAGAGGUAACUGAUUGCUAAUAAUGCUAUUGCUGUUGGUGUAUUUCAAAUUCAGAUGUUCACAGAAAUUGCUUAGUUCAACAUAUAAUUUGACUUAUUUCGUUUGCACCUUUGAUUUGUAGAGGAAACAUCAUACUUGCUUCCCAUUUCGUAAUUCUUUUACUCGGGUUUAUAAAACCAUAAUUUGUUAGUGCAUCGCCUGAUCUUCGGUAUGUCUCUUGAUUCGAUGAUCAUGCAAAUUUGGAAUUGUAGCAACUUGUUAUAUUUGGCUUUGUCGUAAUUCGUUAUCUUUCAUAUUGCUUAAUGAAACUUAGAAGGUAUCCUGCAAUAAGAUAACGAUUGCUAACUUGCUUAAUAAUUGCAUGCUGCAUCUGGAUAUCCUGUGUCAUUUUCUUGUUAGCGGCUACUUAAAUCUGUAACGGCAGCGACCAUCAUAUGCUCAUUAAUUUCUUCGUUUAGAAGUGCCAUUAUGAUUAAAUUUGGGUUCAACUAGGAGUGGCAUGCAAGUCUUAAGCUCUGGCCACCUUCAAUGUUGACGAAGUAAUCAAACAAUUUUGUGAAGUAGGAAACCAAAAAAUUGUCAAAACAGAGAACCGUGCAUGCAAAGCUUACAGUUGCUAAAACAAGUAUCACAACACUGCUCCAAUCUUGCCAGGGUUCUUCUGGGUCUCUCUCUCUCUCUCUCUCUCUCUCUCUCUCUCUCUCUCUCUCUCUCGUUCGCUUGCGUGCGCAUGCGUAUUGGGCUUGUGGGAGGAUCUUAUUGUCAUUUUCUGUAUCAAGAUUUUUUGGUCAUUUUUAUCUGAGAUGUGUAGCACUAAGUGCUCUAACCUGCAUUUGUUGAUUAGUCUAUUAACACUGGUCACUUUGAAGAUAGCUUGUGCUUGUACACAAUUUUAGGGUUGUUUGAAAACCCAGGUGCUAAUAUUCUUUCAUACACGCCAUAUAUUUCUAAGAUUUAUCUUUGAGCACUCUGGUGGAUGGCUCUUUGUUUAGCUAUUAUUUUUGGUAGUGAUUUGCAUCCACACUUGAGAAAAUUGAUUGUUUUUCUUUAUUUUGUCUCAGAAAUAUGCUUAUGAUCUUAUCUACUGAUACUUGUUUUAUUGUUGUCAGAAAAAUUUGUAUAAUGCGCGGAUAAGUAUCUCAGAAUUGCGUAACUCUAUCACUGCCAAGCGUAUUAAGCUCCAACAUCUGAGACAAUGUAUUAAACUAAGUACAGUUCUCAAAGGACAAGUAAGUUCUCUCGUCGUUUCUUUAUUUACCAGUUAUAUCUACAGUUACUCCAUUUCACCAUUUCUUAGUAAUUUUGCUCUGGAGUACAACAAUGAUAUUGGACAAAUAGCUAAAUAUGUAUAAGGUUUCAGAAUUCCAGUAAAUGCUUUCUUAUUUACCUAGAUAGCAAAACACAUUAAGAAAAUAAUUUGCGAAGGCCUAAGUUAUAGUGAUAAAUACAAACUGUUCAGGGCUAGAAAGAUUAAGGAUGAAUUGGGGAACCAGUCAUAUCUACUAUUGUAGAUACUCUGAGCUACAUACAGACUGUCAUGAUAAUGCUCAUUUAUCGCUUAAAAAAGAUAAGAUAAGAUCAAGCCCUGCAGUGCCGUGAUUCAUACCCACGCUACAAUGGCAUGUUGGUUGUGCUACUGACAUGCUACCCUUGUGUCAGACAUGCCCUGGCAUGGGAUAUUUGUUCAGAACAUUUAAGCUAAAAGCUCCAUGUCACAGAAUAUGAUGGAUGUUCAAUUAUAAUUCUAAGAGUUUCAAAAGUAUUAAUUGAUAGAAUUUCUCACUACUCCUGGGUGAAGUUCCUUGAAAUUUGAUUGAAUUGAGAAUUGAAAGUAGGGAAAAGUAAUGUUUUCCAAUACUGGGAAAUGUAGGUUGAAAUUUGGAAAAUAUUUCAUGGCAAAAAUAAAUCUGAUUUCAUUAAAUUAUCUUAUGCAAUUAUAAGAAGCAAGCUUACGCACAGUGGCUUGUUCAAAAAGAUUCACAUGAUUUUUUUUCAAUUUUAUCAAAAGAUCUACAUAGAAGGGACUAACAGUUAGCAAAUGGCCUUAUUAAAAUAUUAUCUGAAUAAACUGCUGAAGUUAAGAAACAUUGCUCCUAAGACAUGAAACAAAAGGAGUGCAGAUUGCUUUUCUACGACCUCAUUGCCUCCCUUGUUUCUUGAAGAUGUUUCUUGCAACUUCUUUGAGGUUGGUUAUUGGUAAAUCUGCUCACUUAAUGUGAAAAUUAAAUGUUUCCAUGUGAUUAUUUUACAGAUAAAUUAUCUGGAAGAGUGGUCUCUUCUCGAUAGAGAUCAUUCAAGUUCGUUAUCAGGAGCUAUUGAAGCAUUAAAGGCUAGCACGCUUCGUCUUCCAGUUGUAGGUGGUGCAAAGGUUUGUUCCGAUCUGAUAUUGGUUAGUGGUUUGAACUUACAUAUUUCUGAAGACUAAUAGCCGCAUUCUCUUUGACAGGCAGAUGUCCAAGAUAUGAAAGAAUCUGUCGGGUCAGUAGUUGAUGUAAUGCACACAAUGGGAUCAUCUAUAUACUCUCUACUGUCAAAGGUAGAUCCUUUAUUAUAUUCUCUUACAACAUCUUAUGUAUUAAAAAACUCUCUCUCUCUCUCUCUCAUGUUAGAUUUGAAUUCUUCAGGUAGAAGGAACAAGUUCCUUGGCGUCCGAACUUGCUAAAGUGGCGGCACAAGAAUUAACUCUGUUGGACCAAUUAAGAGAUGUCUUGUCCACUGUGGCAGUCAUGCACGUAAGGCAAUGUAGCCUUCAGGGGCAUUUAUUGCAACUAAAAUAGCGUCGGAGCUAGGCACAGUUGUAAAGCAAAUUCUCUCACCAACUCUGUGAUUACUAACAUCAAAGCGGCCUCUUUGUUUCCUAACUGAAGAUUGCGACAAAAGGUAAUAAAUCAUGGCAGUUUGUUUGCUGCAUCUUGAGAGUACUAGUUCUCCCUGUUUGUUUGCUGCAUCCUUGAGAGUUCUAAUUCUCCCUGUUGAUUUUCACCAAAUGCAGCUAAUUCAUGUAUUUUUGUCUACAUAACAUUAUGAGUGGCUCUUUUUCCUGCAGUGAUUUCAGGAGAUGUAUACAAAUUACUUGUGCUUAUAAAAGAAAAGCUUAUGCAUAUAUAUGUUUAAAUUUAGUGUUUUUUAGUUAAUUUCUUUUUAGAAGAAGAAAAGGUCAUAUAACUCUUUUAUCUCUACUGAAGCACUUCUUGUCUCAUCAAAUGGUUUUAGGAAAAAGGAAAUGAGUAGAGUUCAACCUACACCGAAGUAGGUAAUGAACAACAGGAUACAGCAGUAUCUCUUUACUGUAAGUAUGAUUUAAUUGUAAGUAUGAUUACCUAUAUAACACAGCAACUGGUAGUCGCCACUAGCGUCAAAAAACAGCUAUGACAACUUUGUAGUCUCUGUGUAAUCUUUUUUUUGUUUUUGAGAUCAUUGUUAUUUGCCUUCAUCUUUUGGCUUAUUCCUUACUUCCCCUUCUCCCUUUGCAUUAUUUAAUCUUUGAUGUUCAUGUGAUCUUCUAGGUACUGUUUUAGUGGCACAAAAAAACAUUUAUUAAUUGCAUGUAUAAAUUUUGCUUCAUUAAGAAAUUAUACGAAAUUAUAUUGUAGCUUUUUCUGAGUUUUCUCAGGAUUCUAACUAUUGACAAUUGUUAACUGCAGCUGACAUGAUUUUUUUUUUUUUUUUUUUNCAGAAAAAUUUGGAUCCAAUAUAAAUUGCCAAACACAACUAAGUUAAUGGCAGUAUAUAAUGGAACAAGCGCGAAUCAGUCACUGAUUUGAUAGAGAACUAUAAACCUAUUUUUCUGCCUCAUUGUUUCUUUUAGUAAAGGUAUUAUUUUAAAGGCAACUAAAUAGACUCCUUUGAAGGAACUUUAUUUGUCGUAUUUUCUCUAUCAAAUCAGUGACUGAUUCGCGCUUGUUCCAUUAUAUACUGCCAUUAACUUAGUUGUGUUUGGCAAUUUAUAUUGGAUCCAAAUUUUUCUGGGUGUGAAUUACCUGCUACUGCUGGGUUUUUUCUUAUUAUUUAUUUUUUGCAAAUCAGUCCCUCAAUGAUGCUAUCACUCAUGGGCUCAAUAUUGUUGUAGGAUUGUUUUGCUACCCUUAAUCAGGCUCAAACCCAAGUGAAUCCGAACACAACAUUGGCCCGAAUGAAAAUCGCAGAGACCCGGCCCGUUAUAUAGUGAAAACUUGGAUCUUGGUAAGCCCGAUAGGACUAUCUUUCAUUUUCCCCUUGCCUGCAAUAUAACAGGAGAAAAGUUAAAGGUGCCAAAUUAAUGGCUUUUGUUUAGUUUUAGUAUUAGUAAUUCAUCGGGCCUGAACUGUAUGUAGAUACUAGUCGAUUUUUUUGGACGUUGCAUUUGGUAUCAGAGUCGUAGAUAAUAACGGGGUCGGAGAUAUUUGAUUGCGGGUCCCGUGUUUCAGGGCUUUUUUCUUUUCCAAUUUAAAUCUUCCAAAAAGAAAAAUUUGGUAUCUAGUCUUGUCAAAAUUUUAUUAUGAUAAAUAACUUUCUUUCUUGAUGCAUAAGUGUCAUGACAUAACAGAUUAUGAAAAUUUACAAAGACGGUGAACUAUUUACUAUUUGCAUGCGGUGGUGUCACAUUGCAUUAAAGCCCUAUUUGUAGAUUUGAGAUAUUUGAUAUUUGUGCGUACGUAUUCAACAAUUGCGUUCUGGAUUGAGAAGAGAAUGUAUACUUACGUUGCGUUCUGGAUUGAGAAGAGAAUGUGUUACGUUAUCAUAAAAGAUAUCACGUUGCGUAGAUCAUAAUGAUUUCGUUAAAAUAGUAUUUUGCCAUCCUAUUGAGGAAUAAAUAAGGUUAACUCUCAAUAUUUUUUACUUUAUAUAUGUUCGGUUCUAACUCACGAGCAUUAAUAACUCGCAGGCCUAACCCAAUGGCUCAAAAUGUUCAAGUCCGAUUAUUAAUAUUAGUGUGUUCGUCAUGUAUAAAUUUCUCACAUUCGUUCAUAUUAUCUGAUGUAAAAUUAUCAGAAUGGUACACUUUGAUUUACUUUUUAGCUAAAUAAUAAUAAUAUAUAGCCCUCAAUACGAAACAGGCAAUCUCAUCAAAUCAGCCGCGAAUUUGCGUACAUUUUAGCAUUUGAGAAUCUUCGCGUCCUACUGCUAAUGCUUUUUUUGAGAGAUAGGUAGCACUCUACCCGCUUCGUUUAUUUUAUUUUUGAAAAUAAACUUAGCUGGAAAUGUGAAUCAACUAGAAUUCGAACUUGGGUCUCAGAUACCAACCACCAAGCCCUUUGCCACUUGCUCUAGGGACGGUCGGUCUGCUAAAAUGCUAUUAUGCCAACCAAACUAAUCAAAGGUUUCCAGGUUGGGCUCAGCGUGGCGCGUGGACGCCAUGCACUAGUAAGAUUCUUUUCCCAUGGAGCAAAUAUAUAUGCACCACACAUUUGGGAAUAUCAACACUGGAAUUGUGUUAGUUUACUUCGAAUAUCUGCACAUAAAUAAAUAUAUAUAGCAAAUAAUUAGUUAUUAGGGACAAAAAUCAUAUGAAAAGGGGGUGGGUCAACCAAAUUGCGGUUCAAUGUCCCGUCGUAAUUCUCAUCCACUUGUUUGAUGCCUUCGAUUAGUGGAAAGAAUGUUUGAAAUCUUGACCACACUUUGGCUUUUUCUGCAAGCAGUCGAUAGGUUUACAUGCCAUUUACACGCACUGGAUGUUCUUUUAAUUUUUGGAGCAAAGAAAGAAUUAUUUGUUUUUUUUUUUUUUUUUUUUGAAGUUCUUUUAAUUUUGUGGUUUGUUUGGGAGAACAUUAUAGGCAUAAAACUAAAGUUUCCCACCAUCAAUAACUUAUUAUUAUUAUUAUUAUUAUUAUUAUUUGGGCGGGGAAAGAUACAAUGAACCAAAUAAUAGAAGUGGAUAUUUAUAACUGAGCAGUGCUCUCGUCUCCACUUUGGUGAAACAAACACAUCCAAAAGUAAGUAGCAUGUUAUUAUUGAACAAAAAGGGCUAAAAAAUAUCUUAGGGCAAAAGCAUCUAGAAAUACGCUUUCUCAUUUUUCGAUAAACCUGUAGAAAUUAUAUUUUAUUUGAUGUGUAAAUAUGAUAUUACUUACAAAGGCGAAUAGUCUAUAUUUCUAUCAUCUGUUACCAAAAUCAAAAUCGAAAGAAACUAAAAUUGAACUCGGGAUCCCAGAUAUUAACUUUUGAGACGUCAGGCAACGCUACUAGGUAUAUAUUAUACGGUUUAAUUUGUUGAGCCUGAAUAGUGUAUUAAUGGCAUUUAUCUAAUCAUUUAUAAUAAAUAAAGCUCAUUAAUAAAACAAAGAGCUGGCUCUUUCUAUAUAUCUUGUCAAUCUACAACAAAGAGUGCAUGCAUGAGAUGUAAAAUUUUAAGACAUGCAUUGUAUCCGUCGCUCGUUCGCUCGUUCGUGCAGCUGCGGCGGCGGCGAUUGUAGUUUCUGCGCGCCCCCCUCCUGCGGAGGAGGAAUUCUACACUGUCAUACUUACACCACGUCAUCAAUUAACAAAUCAAUCACAUUCCUUCUUUUCAAACAAAAGUGCAAUAAAAAUACUUUUUUACAAUCAUGAUGGAACGUAUAUUCUUAAAAGAAUUAAUUUGAUUGGUUUGUUACGCCACGUCACUAAUACACCUGUUGCAUUCUAGAAUUUUUCCCUGCGGAGAGUCUAGACUCUCUCUCUCUCUCUCUCUCUCUCUCUCUAUAUAUAUAAUGGGUUUAAUUGCACACAGGUUCCUGUAAAUAUAGUAAAUUAUAAAUAUAUUUCUAUAAAGUUUAACCUUCAUAUAUUAUUUCUAUAAAAGUCUUAAUAUUUUCAAAUAUAUUUCUAUCGUAGAAUUCAUUAGAAAAAUUUAGAUAAUCAUAGAUUAAAUAUUUAAUCCUGAUUAAUUUAUAAGAUAACUUGAUAUUUUUGCUCCUCUUAUAUUAUACUGUUGUGACUUUUGAAAGACAUAUUUGUGACGACAAAAUUGAAAAUAUAAAUAGUUUUUAACGGUUCUCUAACGAUAACAAACCAGAAAAAAAUAUUUGAAAAUAUUAGAAGUUUUGUAGGAAACAAUAUAUGAAAGUUGAAUUUUGUAGAAAUAUGUUUGUAAUUCACUAAGUUUGCAGGGACAUGUAUGUAUUUAACCCUAAUAAUAACCUCUCUGGGACAACUAUGUCCUGGACAAUACAUAUAACGCUUUUUAAAUUCUCUAUUUGACGUGCGUGUCGUAUCCGAAAAGUUUACUAUAUAAAGUUUAUACUAUAUAUCAUCAAUAAUCAAUCAAUUAUAUUUUUUAUUUAAAAAAUUUAAUAAAAAUAAUUUUUUAAUAAUUAUGAGGGGACAUAUGAAUACAAAGGAAACAAUCUUAUUUGUUAAGAUUGCCAUAUCAGCAAUAUAAUUAGUAUAUUCUAGAUAUUUUC